AAAUCUGAACCUAUGAAAUAACCAUUGAAAUUAAUUUAAACUAUUUGGAUCAAAUACAUACUUGAUUGCAACCUUUCAUGCAAACUACCAAGCUAAUCUUACACAAAUCCACCAUAUAAUCGGAGAAGAACCCGAAAAUUCCUUUCCGAAAAGUAUCCAGAUGUUACUAAAAUUCUCCAUGAAUUUCCAUACAUACUCGGCAAAAAAAAACAUAAACCAUAAAACAUGUAUUAUUACAUUCAAAACAAAGAAAGAAUGAGAAAUGAAAGAAGCUAAGUAGCUUCAACAGAAUAAGAAAGUUAGACUUCAAGUUCAAACAUUCUUUAUUGAUCUCAGUAGAAACGAAUACCUUCCACACAUUUAAACAUAAUUUGUCAGCUUAGAUUCGAAGGGGUACUUGGAAAUUGAAGGAAAAAGAGGAAGCAGCAGACAACAACAGAAAUCAGCUUGGAAACCAACUGAUGUAACAGUAUUCCAUGCAGCAGCUCAAAGCCAACUUUUAAAAUCUUAGAACUCAAACCAUUUUUAACUCAAAUGCAGAAUUUUACAGUUUUUCAAGAGUUCUAGAUACGAAGAAAAUCAGAAAUCCCAGGCCAGACAGAAUUUAAACAGUUUUUGCAGAAAAGUGCCAGGGAAUUCAAAGGAUUUUUUAGAGUUUUAAUCCCUUCAAUUUUCAGCAGUUUUUUGAUCUCCCCCCUCUGCCUUGUUGGUGAAGAAACAAUGCCUUUAUAGGCAAGGUAUUAGGGCUGCAGAGAUUGAACUAAGUUUGCCCUUAGGACCUUUUCUAAUUUUCAUUUUUGCUUUGAAAACCCUCUUCAAUUUUGGUUUUUGCUCAAGUACCCUUAAUUUUAAAAUCAGAAUUUCAGAAUAGUCCCCCUCCCUCUUCUUAGAAGCUUCUCAAAUCAGUUACUAAUGAUUCCUUUACCCAAAUUCCUAAAUUAACCCUUAAAAAUUCUGUAUUUACUUCAGAAAAAUCACAUGUCAAAUUACCCCAAGUCCCAGCCCAAACCCAUGGGUCUGUAUACUCACAGCCCAAACUCAACAAACUUCAGACCAUUAAGCAAUGAAGCUCAAAUGAACAAGGCUGUUUAUGUCAUUAAAUGAGUUUCAGAGAACUUAAAUGAUUCAAGAAAAAACAUAGCAACAACUGGGAAUUUAUGAACCAAAUGAAUGAAUCAAACAAAAAUAAUGAACAAACGACUUAAGAGAAUUCGACCCCAAUUAUAAUCUCAAAUGAACUAUCGACCGGGGUCAGAAAAGAAAGGAAAAAUGACACAACGGAAGAGAAACACGUACUAACUAACAGAGAGGCAUCUCUGAACAGACUUGCUGGCAUUGGUCUUGCAUGAGGACGAUGGGCUUCGAAACGAAUCGAAGUCCAUGCUAGUCACUCGUUCUCGAGGAGAAAAGUCGACUGGCAUCAAAUUCGAACUAUUAUCGGCCCAAAAGCUUGAACUUGACAAGGAGAGCAAGAUUAGGGUUCAUGGGACUUGAGUCUUUGAUCUCAAAUUCGACGAGCUAGGCUAUGAUUCGAGGGUAAAGGGUUGGAGAUUUGGGAUGGGGAAACGGAAAGGGUUCUAGAGUGUGAAUUUUGGCCAAUUAAGUGGUGACGCCGCCACCGGAGGAUGGUGGAAUCAUGGGGUGAUGCUAGGGUUGGCAUGGAGUUCUUUGAAGAUGAAAUGAAUGAGAGACACGGGUUUGGGGGGUAAUGUUCAGACAUAUAUAUUUGGGUAGGGUGAGGAGUUCCGGUCCGUUGGAUCUAAUUGAUCCAACGGUUGAUACAGAGGGGUUCCUGAACGGCGUCGCUUAAUUGGGAAGUGGGGCUGGACCGGGCUGGGGCAUGGGUUUGGGCUGGGUUAAGCUGGUACUGGUAGAAAAUCGUUUGGGCUGUUACAAGUUUGGCCCGAAUACAGUCUUUCUUAUUUCCUUUUAUUUUCAUUUCUUUUUUUUUCUAAUUUCUUUAAAAUUAAAACUAAAAAUAAAAACAUAAAUUAAUUCCUACAUCAAAUUAUCCUACCACAUUGAAUUAAUUAACUCUGACUAACAAUUACCACAAAUAAUUAAAAACCAAAUUUAAAGGGAAAACUACCAAAAUUUCAAAAUUAAAAUUAAAAAGUGCAAAAGGAAACUAUUUUUUGUUAUUUUUCCAUUUUUAUAAAACAACUAAUUUGCUACUUAGUGUAACAAAUGUAAAAUUAAAUCCUAAAUGCAAAUACAACAUAUUUUUGUAUUUUUCAUGAAUUAGAUAAAAUAAACGUGCAUAGACAAAUGCAAACAGUCGACAAAAAUGCCAUAAAAAUCUACGAAAUUGCAAAUAGUAGGAAAAAUUUAUUUUUCUUGAAUUUAUGGGUGUAAUUCACGUAUGGAAAAAAUCACGUGCUCACACCGACUUGCAUCAAGAGUUCGUCACUUGUCUGUUCUUGGCUACUCCUGUGUGAUUUCGAGCAAAAUCAUGAUGUAUUUGUUACGAUCCUUGGGAUUCUAGACAGGUUAUUUCAUCUCUAUAUGAGUUUCUUUUGAAACCCUAAUUUCUUCCUAUAUCUCCUAGAUCUGCACAGAUCUAGGAUGAUUUGGGUUUGUUUCUUUAAUAUUUUACACUAUCCUUGGAACUCUUUACAAGAAUCAUUGAUUUCAAGUGUUUUUCACCUUCUUCUAAAAAUUAGGGUUUCUAAACUUAUUUUAAAACUUUGUUUAACUGAUUCUUUGUGUUUAAACUUCUAUUUCUUACAUAUUUUUGACUGAUUCUAUGAUUUUACUACCUCUUCAACUCGUCUAUGUUGAAAGCCCUAAUUUUCUAGGUUUCUUCGUUUGAUUCUAUGUAUCAACAUGACUGACCGGUUCUUGUUUGGGUUUCUAUGACUAUCUUGCCUCGAAUAUGUUCCUACUGAGUUUUUUAGCCUAACUUAUAUCAACUCUAUGUGCUUGUGUUCAUCUUGACUAUUCAAGACUUGCCUCUUUCUAUCAGUGUUGUUUAACCUUCAUGUUUGCUAUGUCUGGUUAUUCUUAUCUUAUUCUAUUUAUAUGCUAAACACUGACUCAUGACUUUCUCUUUGAUUGAUUUUGGAUUCCCUAUUUCAUGGUUUAAUUGGAAGACCUUCCUUUAAACAUUUGAUUCCUACCCUUUCUAUUCAAAUUGAUUGAUUCGCCUACCUUGACUGCAUUGGUACCUUAUUCUUACUGACUAUCUCCUUAAUUAGAGUUUUCUGAACUUAGCCCUAAUUGUUUACCCUAUACUUACUGUAUUUGAAAUCCUUCCUUAUUGGUUGUACAAUGAUUUCUUUCCUUAUUUGUUACUUGUUCUUACCGUUUGAACAGAUUCCCUUAAAUUAAGGGAGUACUUGUACUGAUUUUGCUCUGAUUGGUUCUGAGUUCCAUAAUUACUAUACUAUUGUGAUUCUUGCCUUAUUUUACCUAGUUUCGAACUACUAUAUAUACAUACUCUCUCAUUAACACAAACACACGAACACAUUAGUUCAAAAAGCACUCUCACACUCAAAACUUUCUGUUUUCUCUUUGGUUACUUGCUAUUAUUCUGAGUUAGCCGGCUCUCUCACACUCAAAACAACACAUGUUAUCUCAUGUUUGCUAUGUAUGCUCUGCCAUGUUAGAAACCAUGCCUGUAGGAUUUCAUAUAUUUGCUAUGUUUGACUUACCAUACUAGAAAUCAUGCCUAUAGAUUUUACAACCAAUUUCACAAAUAGAUAUCAUACUUAAGCAUGUGAUCAAGUUAAAGUUUCUGUUCCAAUGGUUGUUUAUAUUUAUUUCCACUAGAAAUCAUGCAUAUAAGUUUAUAAACAACAAGAUAUCAUGCUCAUAGGGAACAACAUCAGAAAUUCUGCAUAUAGAUCCACAAUCAGUUUAGUUUAAAUAAGUCAAUCCAGUUCCUGAUAAGUUUACUUCGAAACUGGUCUAAUUAAUGGUUUGUUUUCCCUGAAAUGAAUUCUUUCGAGUACUGCUCUAAUUUACUAUUAGAAAGCAUGCCUAUAGGAACUCAAGAGUCUGUUUUAAAAUUUGCCCACUGUUUUACUAUAUCAAACGUAGUUAUCAUGCUCUUAGGACACCACUAUUCAGUGUGUAGGCAAGCCUAUAGGGCGUUUUCAAAUCCUGCAACUCUGAAACUGUUUCUGCUACUUAAUGUUGUUCUAAUUAACAAGCUUAAAAUCAGCAGGCAAACUGAUAGGGCCAUUACUUCUGAGCUUAUAAAAAAUAAACUGCCUAUCUUCUAUGUCUUGAUAUUCAUUUAGACAUUAUGUUUUAGGAUACUGUUUAACAAUACGACCCUUAUUUAUGUUUGAGUCGUGCUGCUUAUAUGCGUUGUUUGUGGAGGUAAGCUUGAGCCUCUAAUUGCUUCUUUUCUACCUUAUGUGCUAAGACCCUAUUUGUUCUUGCCUGUCACCUUAGUAUUUUUGCCUUUGAACCUUAGGGGUCUGUCUAGAACUGCCUAUAGGUAGAGGUCCUAAAUUUCCUCUAGGACCAUUAAGAAGUGACAGGAAACAACACGCAAUAGAGAUCGCUAAUCAACACUCGCUUUAAUAACCACUAAGGGGGUCGGAAGGGUAGAUAUGGGAUAUGAUAACUACGCUUUAAUAUCACGUGUAGCCCCUCAUUGAGGAGUAUUUACUGGUUAUUAUGUGGGGUGAUCCUAUAGGCUAACUAACCUAGGACCCCUCCUUUCCCAAAUCCCUUUCAUUUAAAACAUUGUUUUAUAUGUAUACAACUUGUUCAAAAUCUUUGUCUUAUUAUACAAUGUCCAACGUGCUUUACUUGCAAAUUAUUUGAUUCAACUAUUUAUUUGUUAAUGGACUAAUUCAUAAGUUAAGUUCGGCCGGGACCAACCGUUGUGGACCGCGAGGGGUGCCUAACACCUUCCCCUCAAGGUUAUUUCGAGCCCUUACCCUAAAUCUCUGGUAAUGCAAACCAAUCCAAGAGUUAAUCGCUCUAGGUUCCCUAACGCACCAUAAUCUGUUAGGUGGUGAAUCUUCAAAUACCCAAUUCCCAAAAGGAAACGAGUUAUUCUCCAUGAAUGUCGAAACCCGGACUUUUCUCUGCAGCGGAAAAAAGGGGGCGCGACAGCAUGGCGACUCUGCUGGGGAUACCUUUUGGCUCUUACCAUAACGAACUUACCUUAUGUGAAUUCAUCCAAGCAUGCUUUAUCUCGUACCCUUUCCCCAUAUUUGAAUUUAACUGCCUAUUUUCUUUUAAGCAUUUAGGAUUUUUUAUCCCGGAAACUAACUUGUCUUUUUAUUUCUUUUUCCUGUAACUGUCUUUCAAUUAUUUAAAUACCAUAUUUAUUUUUCCUAUGUACAAAUACUUGAACACAUGUUAUUAAUUGUUGCAUAAAUCAUGCUCCACAUCAUAUUCCACUCGUGCGUAUCAAAUCCUAUAGCAACACUUAAAUGAGUGGUUGCACUCUUCCUAUUUACUACCCUUAAAUUCGGAAAUGUUUAUUUGCGGUAAAACCAGUUGAUCAGCGGUGCAGUAUUGACUAUUUCGUGCCUUCCCCCUCAAGUUGUCCGCUUGAGGGUACCAGUCUAAAACCCCAUAGUAGCCUUACUGUGGUCAAAAUUAUGCAUUCAUCAUGGUCAAAUCUAGUUGGAUCAAUAUGUUGUCCACGUAAUGAUCUUUUAAGACGAGCCUUAUCCAAAAGUCCACCGGGGUUUCUAUAAUCCCAACGGACACAAUCAUGUUCUGUGUAUUAAUUUGGAGAACAAAAUGCCGAUAUGCUAAUUAUGAGUGUACAAAUGGUAGGGAAAAGGUCCUAACCUUUUUGUUUUGCAAAAAAUGAGGCACGAAGUCCCUAGGUUCGGCAUGGCCGAUAAUAUACCAUCACUAUUGUUAGACUGGUGGAGGGUCUUCCAUCAUGUGACCAGAUCAAUGAAUGGAAAGAGAGGGCUGUCAAAUCUAGAGAAAAGCUAGAAUAUCUAGAAUACAGUCUGAUGGAAUUGGAAGGAAGAGUGAGGAAGAGAGUCACCGACUGCCAGAACGCUGAGGGAAAUGAAAGAGGACAUUUGGCAAAGGCAUUCCUAUUGCUGAACCUAUGUGAACUGGGGGAUUUGAUCGACAAGAGCAUCCAGCCAGAGGAAGGUCCUUCUGAGGCCAAAUAGAUUAGGUUUACUUGCUUUUCAAAUGUAAUAAAUCCAACUGCCAUUAGUGACUUAUCUUAUUUAGUGUCGUUUUGGGGUUCAUCUAUUUUAUCUUAAUGAAAUGAGGCAUUUAUUGGUAUCUAAAGUUCUCCAAAUCUAUUUGUCGCUAGGCCUACCUCGGCCACAACGAGGCUCCCAAAUUAGGAUGCGAAUUUACAUUUCCGCAAUAUGUGUUUAAAUAUUGCAAACAUUUCAGGAUCCUCACUGACUUGUUACCUUUUUAUUUUUGCUUAUUUUUUAUUGUUAUUCCCAUCCCCUUGGUUGGUUCACUCAUACUGGCCUCAUUAGUGUAUCACACCAGAUCUAGAGGCCCUCCACCUCCUCCUUCUCCAAACAACACAAAAGGUAGAGGAAAAACAAAUACGGACGACUUAAGUGGAAUCCUAAAGGAGAAUAUUGAGAAAGCAAAGACUUCAGAUGGCCGUAGUACUCCGGCCCCAAAUGAUCUAGUCUUGAGACUGGAACAAAAUAUGAUGGAAUUGCAAGGAGAACUUGAGCAGGUUCGCAAUUUGGUAAACUUGUCACUCACCCUCAAUGUCCCCAAUAUCCACCAACAAAACACAAAGAACCCAACACCUCCUCAGAACACACAAAACCAACAGCCACAAAAUCCUACCGCACCAAAUCAAUACACAACUCUACCCCAAAAUAUCAAUCUGCUGCCAAUACCAACUCCACCGCAACAUCAUCAUCAACCAAUUCAGUACCCACCAACCACCACUUACCACACUCCCCAAAACACACCACAACCUAUUCUCGAUCCCCAAAACUCCACCAAUGACCAUCAUUACACCCAAGUCCCUGGCACCCAUCAAAGAAACCCUAUAUAUGUGGAAAAUGUACCUCACUCUACCCAACCAAUCUCCUAUACACUGGAAUCCUCCGAGAAGGACCUGCUCAUUAAAAACAUGGCUGAAGAACUUAAGAAGUUAAUAAGCUGAGUUCAACGUGUUGAGGGCGAUAGAGGAAUAAAAGGUAUGAACUAUGAAGAUCUGUGCAUACAGCCGGAUAUCAAACUGUCAAAGGGGUACAAACUUCCCAAGUUCGAAAUGUUCGAUGGCAUAGGUGACCCUAGGGUUCAUCUAAAGACCUAUUGUGACAAUCUUGUCGGGGUCAGAAAAGAUGAAAAGAUCCGGAUGAAGCUCUUUAUGAGGAGUCUUACUAGGGAUGCUUUGUCUUGGUAUAUCAGUCAAGAUCCCAAGAAAUGGUCCAAUUAGGUAAGCAUGGUGUCGGAUUUCAUAGACCGGUACAGGUUCAACAUAGAAAAUGCACCGAAUAUUUUCUACAUUCAGAAUCUUAAGAAGAAACCUACUGAGACUUUUCGUGAACUACUCAUUGGUGGUCGGAAGCGGCCAAAGUCAGGCCCUUUUUGGAUGAACAGAUGAAUAAAUUUUUCAUCAGGGCACAGGAUCCACAAUAUUAUAAGAGGUUGAUGGUUAUUGAAAAUCACAAAUUCUCUAACAUCAUCAAAAUCGGAGAAAGAAUCUAAGAAGGAAUCAAGAGCGGGAUGGUAACAAAUUUCGAGGCACUGCAAGCCACGAAUAAGGCACUACAAUCAGGUGGCAUAUCGAAGAAGAGAGAUGUUGAGGCGGUAAUGGUGGCCCAGGGCCCAAAAUCUCCACUUACCUAUCAGACACCUCCACCCACAUAUCAAACACCUCUGCCCACAUAUCAAAUACCUCCACCCACAUACCAAGCAUCACCGCCAAAAUAUCAACCUUUAUCUCCCAGAUAUUCCCAACCAGCCACUAUCCAUCACACCUAUAACUCCCAACCAUCCCACUUCCAAUCACCACCAGCUAGCCAAAAUUAUCCAAGACCAAGACCCAACUUUGACCGCAAGCCACCCAGACAAUACACUGCCAUUGCUGAGCCCAUCGACCAACUGUAUGAAAUGUUGAAAGCCGCAGGUUACAUCACUCUUUUUCCCACUGUGGCAUUAGAAAAUCCAUCCCAAUGGGUCAAUCCGAACAAAACUUGUUCGUACCAUUCCGGUAUAAAAGGGCACACCACUACUGAGUGCCGAACAUUGAAGGAUAAGAUCCAUACGCUAAUUGACAACAAGGUCAUACAAGCAAAGGAAGUUGCACCUAAUGUCUGCAACAAUCCCCUCCCCGAUCACAGAGGUGAUGGUGUACAUGUGAUAGAGACAAAUGAAGAAUGGGACCCUGAGGGGUCGAUCAGGCUUAUUCGAGAAGGCGAUGACUUUAAGGUUGCAGUCACAUUUACUCCUAUUGUGGUUCAAACUCAGGCACCAAUCAAGGUUGAGGUAACUGUAUCAGUUCUAUUCAAAGUGGAAGUGGCUCCACCCGCAGCCACCCCCGCUCCAUUUGAAGUAGAAGUGGUCACACCUUUCACUAUGACAAUAUCAACCACACCCCCAUUCAACUCAAAAGCAAUACCCUGGGAUUAUGUUGUUGUGGCUCGGUGGAAAAGGAAGGCCAAGGUAGAGGAAUCUGACGCUACAUAAGGAAUGACUAGAACUGGAAGAGUUUAUAUACCUGAACACCUGGAAGGUUCAAGUAAGGAGGCCACUACUAGGUAGCCUAUCAUUAAGAUCGGGCUAGAUGACCUAUGAAGGAAAGUAUAGGCAAAGGAGUACUCUGUUGUUGACCAUCUGAACAAAGUCCCUGCUCAGAUAUCUAUCCUAUCGCUAUUGUAGAAUUCAGAGGCACACAAGAAUGCCUUAAUGAAAGUGUUGUGCGAGGCUUAUGUACCCAAUAACAUCACCGGUGGAGAAAUGGCUAACGUGGUUGGGCAAAUACUAGAAAGUCAUAAGAUCAUCUUCCACGAAGAUGAGAUACCACCCGAGGGACUGAAUCACAAUCGAGCAUUGCAUAUUACGGUGCAAUUUGAAGACAAGUUCAUUGUCAAGGUCUUGGUUGAUGGAGGUUCGAGCCUAAAUAUUUGUCUAUUGGACACUCCGAAAUGGUUGGACAAAGGUUUCCAUGAGAUACGGGUAGGAAGCAUGAAUGUGAAGGCUUUCGAUGGGUCCCAGAGGGCCACGAUCGGGGAAAUCAACCUUCGCUUGCAGAUGGGACCAACUUGGUUCGAUGUUGAAUUUCAAGUGCUUGACAUACCAGCCUCAUAUAAUCUUCUGUUGGGCCGACCAUGGAUCUAUGCCGCUGGAGCCAUGCCUUCCACACUACAUCAAGCUGUGAAGUUUGAAUGGAACCGCCAGGAGGUAAUCAUUCACGGAGAUGGAAGUAACCCCAUUUACACCAGUCAAACCAUCCCAGCUAUUAGACAUAGAAGGAGGCUAAGAGGGGAAGGCUAUCAUCAUAUUGAAUGGGUCAACGCCGUCGAGAAGGAUAAGUGGUGGAGUAACAAAAUGGAAAGAAUACUAGCUGGUCAGGAUAUGAACCCGGCAAAGGGUUGGGAAAGAACCUCUAAGGUAUCACCAAACCAAUACAGCUGAAAAAUCAUGGUACCACCUUUGGGCUCGGAUACCAGUAUACAUGGCAAGAGUACAAUGAUUGGUCGCCUCCAUGGCGUGGACCAUAUUACCCUCUUGAGCAGCCAGUGCCACGUUUGGAACAACCUUUUUCACCAGGCUGACACAAUAUGGGGGACUUCAAAAGAAGAAACACUAGCUGGGUUGAAGAAUUUGUUCUUGGAGGAUGAGGACAACUGCAGUGCCAUAAUUGAGGAGGAGGAGCCUCACUAUUCAGACCGUGAAUAAAGGAGUUGUUCUCAGGAAUUGGACCGCUACACUAUCCCGAGCCCGCCGAGUCCCUAGGUAGCCUGGCAGAUUUUUACUUCUAUAGCUAUUCUAGGCAUCAAAGAUUUCUAGUAAUUUUGUUUUAAAAUUUACUUGUUUCAAAAUAAAUGCUCGAUUCAUCAAGCCAAACUUUGUGUGCAUGAUUUUUUUUCCAGUUUUAAUCAAAUGCAUUUGUUCUUUAUCAUUAUUCAUUACUAUUUCUAUAAUUUUCCUUCUACAGUGUUAUUAUUACUUUUUCUGAUAAACCAGUGACUGUGACAUGUAAUGAGGCAACGCAACAUGAGAAUAGUGAUUCAGAGGAAGAAGAUGAGAUACCUAAGGAAAUUGUCAAGGAGGUUGAAAAUUUUGAGAAUAAGCCUAAGUCCAAUCUGGACGAAACCGAAGCAGUAAAUUUAGGAAAUGCUGAGACAAUCAAAGAGAUCCGCAUCAACAUUCACUUGUCACCAACAGAGAAGGAAGAGUACAUUCGUUUCCUAAAAGAGUAUGAGGACAUUUUUGCAUGGUCAUAUGAUGACAUGACCGGUUUGAGCACUUCCAUAGUGGCUCACAAGUUGCCUACUAAUCCUAUGUGUCCGCCAGUAAAACAGAAACUCAGAAAGUUCAAACCAGACAUGAGCCUGAAAAUCAAGGAGGAAGUUACCAAGCAGAUCAAAGCCAAAGUUCUCAGGGUGGUUGAAUAUCCAACCUAGUUAGCUAACAUUGUGCCAGUUCCGAAGAAGGACGGGAAGGUCAGAGUAUGUGUUGACUAUCAAGAUUUAAACAGAGCAAGUCCCAAGGAUGACUUCCCACUGCUAAAUAUACACAUCCUGAUCGAUAACUGUGCCAAGCAUGAACUCCAAUCCUUUGUAAAUUGCUUCGCGGGUUAUCACCAAAUUUGGAUGGAUGAAGAAGAUGCAGAGAAGACAGUUUUCAUCAUACCGUGGGGUGUAUACUGUUACAAGAUGAUGCCAUUCGGUCUGAAAAAUACUGGGGCCACUUACAUGAGAGCCAUGACAACCAUUUUACAUGAUAUGAUACACAAGGAAAUAGAGGUGUAUGUGGACGACGUCAUUAUCAAAUCCAAGAGGGCCGUAGAUCACGUAGCGUACCUGAGAAAGUUCUUUGACAGGCUAAGGAGGUACAAUUUGAAAUUGAACCCCACAAAGUGUGCAUUCGGGGUUCUCGCAGGAAAGUUACUGGGAUUCAUUGUCAGUUGCCGAGGGAUCGAGUUGGAUCUGUCUAAAGUCAAGGCUAUGCAGGAGUUACCACCACCUAAGAGCAAAGAGGAUGUGAGGAGCUUCCUAGGAUGGCUCAACUACAUCAGUCGAUUCAUAGCACAAUCCACAGUCUUAUGUGAACCCAUCUUCAAGAUGCUGAGGAAAGAUGCUGAAACAAGCUGGACAGAGGAUUGUCAGAAAGCUUUUGACAAGAUCAAGUAGUACCUGUCCGCACCACCAGUUCUGGUCCCGCCAGAACCAGGAUACCCUUUGCUACUAUAUCUAUCCGUGUUGGAUGGAGUCUUCAGAUGUGUUCUGGGACAACAUGACGAGACAUAAAGAAAGGAUCAAGCCAUAUAUUACUUGAGUAAGAAGUUUACGCCUUAUGAAGUACGGUAUUCUCUACUUGAAUGCACUUGCUAUGAUUUGACCUAGACAGCUCGAAAAUUGAGGCAUUACUUCUGUGCCUACACUACAUACCUCAUAUCGAGGAUGGACCCUCUAAAGUACAUAUUCUAGAAACCUAUGCCAACUGGAAAGUUGGCCAAAUGACAGAUAUUGUUGAGUGAAUUCGAUAUCAUCUACGUAAAUCAAAAGGCAGUCAAAGGACAAGCAUUGAUAGAUCACCUUGCUAAAAAUCCGGUGGGAGGAGCAUGCGAACCUUUAAAAACAUAUUUUCCUGAUGAAGAAGUGUCGUUCGUAGGGGAAGACAUUACCGAAGCAUACGAUGGUUGGAGGAUGUUCUUCGAUGGAACCACAAAUUUUAAAGGAGUGGGCGUUGGAGCAGUUUUGGUAUCAGAAAUGGGUCAGCAUUAUUCGGUAUCAGCUAAACUCAGAUUUUCCCGCACCAACAACAUGGCAGAGUAUGAAGCCUGCAUAUUAGGGCACAACAUGGCAGUCAACAUGGACAUUCAGGAGUUGCUGGUGAUCGGUGAUUCAGAUUUGCUUGUGCACCAGGUACAAAGAGUGUGGGCCACCAAGAAUUCCAAGAUAUUGUCAUAUCUGCACCAUGUACAGGAAUUGAGAAAGAGGUUCACGAAGAUAGAAUUCCGACAUGUGCCCAGAAUUCAGAAUGAGUUUGCCGACGCAUUGGCCACCUUGUCAUCUAUGAUACAAUAUCGAGAUAAGAAUUAUAUUGAUCCCAUUCCGGUAAGGAUCCAUAAUCAGCCGGCAUAUUAUGCUCAUGUUGAAGAAGAAAUGGAUGGAAAGCCUUGGUUCCAUGACAUCAAGGAGUAUUUGUCAAAGGGAGAAUAUCUGGAGCAUGCAAACCACACUCAGAAAUGCACACUUUGGAGAUUGUCAAAUCACUUCUUCCACAAUGGAGGAUACUUGUACAGAAGAACUCCUAAUUUGGGUUUACGAAGGUGUGUUGACGUGAAGGAAGCUUCUAAGCUACUUGAGGAUGUACAUGUCGGGACCUGUGGCCCACACAUGAAUGGUUUCAUCUUGGCUAAGAAGAUAAUUAGAGUCGGUUACUUUUGGAUGACCACGGAGAUAGAUUGCAUCCAUUAUGUACGCAAAUGCUUUCAAUGUCAAGUGCAUGCCAAUAUGAUAAAAGUAUCGCCGAACGAUCUCAAUGCAACAAGUUCACCUUGGCCAUUCGCCACCUGGGGAAUGGAUGUUAUUGGUUCAAUUGAGCCCACUACUUCAAAUGGACACAGAUUUAUCCUAGUGUCCAUUGAUUACUUCACGAAACGGGUAGAAGAUACAUCUUACAAAGCUGUAACCAAGAAAGUCGUCACAAAUUUUGUCAAGGAUCAUAUUGUCUGCCGAUUUGGAGUUCCCGAGUCCAUUAUUACUGACAACGCCGCCAAUCUUAAUAGUGAUAUAAUGAAAACUAUGUGUGAAGCUUUCAAAAUCAAGUACAAGAAUUCCACAGCCUACAGACCUCAGAUGAAUGGAGCCGUAGAAGCCACCAACAAAAACAUUAAGAAGAUACUAGAGAAAAUGGUAGAGAACCACAAACAAUGGCAUGAGAAGUUACCAUUUGCUCUAUUGGGGUACCGCACCAUGAUUAGCAUAUCAACCGGAGCAACUCCCUACAUGCUGGUUUAUGGUACCGAGGCUGUCAUCCCAGCCGAAGUGGAGAUUCCUUCUUUAAGAAUCAUACAGGAAGCUGAACUCAGCGAUGCAGAGUGGAUAAGUAGUCACUGUGAACAAUUGGCCCUUAUCGAUGGAAAGAGGAUGAAUGCAGUAUGUCGCGGCCAACUUUAUCAUAACAGAAUGUCCAACGCUUUCAACAAAAGGGUCAAACCAAGACAGUUCUCACCAGGGCAGCUAGCAUUGAAGAAAAUCUUCCCGCAUCAAGAUGAAGCCAAAGGGAAAUUCUCCCCCAACUGGCAAGGUCCGUACAUGGCUCACAGGGUGCUAACAGGAGGAGCACUCAUACUUGUAGAAAUGGGCGGGAGAAUCUGGACAAGGCCAAUCAAUUCAGACGCAGUCAAGAGAUACUAUGCUUAGAUUAUUUACAUUUCUUCAUUAGAUGUAAUUGAACUACGCUUGACCUGAUUCCCGCUUAAGAGGGGAUACGUAGGUAACCUUAUGGGUUCGGUCAUAUCAUAAUAAAAUUUUCAUUUCCCCGAAGACCAGAAACUGGGGCAGAAUUUUGAGGAGGACCCUCAAAAUUCCUGAGCAAGUCCAGCCAACGCCAUCGCAUACCAGAAAGUCAGUUAAGAAAUUGGGGCAGAAUUUUGAAAAGGAUUCUCAAAAUUCCAAGGAAGGUUCAGAAAAGCCUAUUAUCCGCAAAUAGUCAAAAGAUCAUCCACCAAACUGGGGCAGAAUUUUGAGGAGGACCCUCAAAAUUCCAAUAUAAGAGAGUUGCAAUGCCUUUGAGAUGUGUUACACUCACUAGUUCAUUUAAAAUUACUUGAUAUAUCAAUACAUUUCUAAAAUAACUCUAUUUUUAUCAAUGAUUGCAUAUUUUUCAAAAUCUCUAUUUCCAUAACAGUUAGGUGUUACCUAGGGGAACUCGAAAGGGCUUUCAGAAUGGAGCAAAGCAAGGCCGCAAGACGAAGCACAAACCAACCUCCCCUCACAAAACUUACAAUUUUUCUUUGAACGCAGGCACAUUUAACGUAACGAUAGCAUUCGCAAACAUGUAUACACAAAGAGAUCACUAUCAAUCAGGCCAUCAGACAACAAAUAUAUCUCCAGCUAAGACAUAUACUACUCCUUGCCUCCAUACUUGCAUGAGGCUAAUCCUUGCCUCCAUAUUUGCAUGAGGCUAAUCUAGGGGUGGGCAUCGGUCGGUUCGAUUCGAUUAUGAAUAUUAUCAGUUUUGCCUAACAGUUAUCGGUUCAUAACCCGAUAACCAAACCGAUAAGAUAUUGGUUAUCGGUUAUCGGUUAAUCGAUUAUCGAUCAUUAUCGGUUUGGUUAUCGGUUUACCCGAUAAGAUAAAACAACUAAAAUAGUUUCGCAAUGUAUAAAACUGUUUCACAAUGUAUAAAACUGUUUCGGUAUAAAGCUGGUUUACCAAAAUAGUUUUAUAAGAUUUUAAGAACUAUUUUGCUAAAACUGUUUUGCUAAAACACUUUUCAUAACUGUUCUAUUUCACGAAUUUAACUUUAAUGCAACAUCCAAUAAAAUAAACACUAACCAAAGUUUCUAUCUUUCAUUCUUCAACCCAAAAUCAAGUAGCGUAUAGGGUUUUGAACAUUUAUAUCUAAUUUUUAAUCUAGUAUAGAAAUAUGUAUAUAGAUUAAAAAGUUUAUUAGUUAUGAAAUACAAAUUUUAUAACAACUGACACAAGAUAACUUUGUAACAGCUCAACAAUUAAAGCACACGACAAAUCCCACUUCAACUUUCAAACAAACUAAGAAAAAUUCAGAGCAAGAAUGCUUUCAAACAAACUAAGAAAAAAAUGAAGAUGAAGCAACUAAAAACUUACACGAAGAAUCAAGAUGAAGCUGAAUAAUGCUGCUGAGAAAUGCGACUAAAGAGUGAAGUGAAGAUGCGAUUGAAGAAUCUGAUGGAUCUGAGAAAUGAAGUGAAGAUGCGACUAAAGAGUGAAAGAAAGAAGCUGAGAAAUGCGAUUGACAUCGGCUUGAGUCUUGACGGGCUGACUGGGUGAGGGCGUGAUCCGAAUGGCGCCGACCUGAGUCUUGACGGGGGCUGACUGGUGAGGGCGUGAGGUGGAGAAACUUAGAAAGAAUAGGGAAAUCAAAGAGUGAGUCAGUGAACUAUGAAUUAUGAAACCCUAGUAUGUAUAUACUUAAGGGUAAAUUAGUAAUUAGUUAAUCCUUAUUGGGUAUCGGUUUUACCCAAUAACAGAAUUGCUAAACUGAGCCCGAAUCGAUAGCCCAAUAAAAAAAAAUUAACCUGUUACCGAACCGUUAACCCAAUAAUCCAAUAAAUAAUUAACGGUUCGGGUUAUUGGUUUUACCCGAUAUAUGCCCACCCCUAGGCUAAUCUGUGCCUCUAUAUUUGCAUAAGGCUAAUCCCUGCCUCCAUAUCUGCACGAGGCUAAUCCUUGCCUCCAUAUUUGCAAGAGGCCAAUCCUUGCCUCCCUAUCUGCAUGAGGCUAAUCCCUGCCUCCCUAUUUGCAUGAGUCUAAUCCUUGACUCCAUGAGGCUAAUCCUUGACUCCAUAUUUGCAUGAGGCUAAUCCUUACCUCCAUAUUUGCAUAAGGCUAAUCCCUGCCUCCAUAUCUGCAUGAGGCUAAUCCUUGCCUCCAUACUUGCAUGGGGCUAAUCCUUGCCUCCUCAUUCACGUGGGACUAAGCAUUGUACCUUUUCGCACAAAUUUUGCACUAUUUCUAGCACUAUCUAGUUGCUCUUCUGACGGACUAAGCUCUGCCCUCCAUUUCGCAAGACUAAGCCUUGUCUUGUUAAUAUCACUAUUGCAUAUCAUGGGCUGAAAUAUCGCCAACCUAUCCAAAGGCGUCAUAGUCUAAAGGUAUCAUCCUCAUAGCUGGAAGACACCAUGCCAUGGCCUGAGGACCUCUUAAAUUUGCAUAUCAUUAUUCAAAGGUGUCAUGGUUCGGAGGCACCAUCUUCAUGGCCCGAGAACAUCAUUUCAUGGCCUGCGAAUCCCUUACUAUAUAAUUCAUGGCUCAAGACGUCAUGGUCUGAGAACGUCAUCUUUAACCGUCCGAAGACAUCCUUCAUGGUCCAAAGAGAAUUUUUAUCAUGUUAAAAUUUUCGCACACACAUGUUUGUAGCAUCUUUUAUGUGCAGGUAACCAGUAAGCAGCCGCUAUCCUAGUAGGAGCGAUCUCGCUCCAGCUCCUUCAACCGUCCCGAGCUUUAACUGCUCACCAUAGCCACUUUAGCACCUCGGUCCAUUCUUACAAUGAUCCCAAAGCAUCCCGCCAAUCAAAAUUGGUCAUCAUUUCUUUACCCGAAAACUCUUUCAUCAUUCCCAAGUAAAGAGGGGCAGCUGUUGAUACCCAAUUUUUUCCUAUAUAUUUUUAAUAUGCAUAAAUACUUUCAAAAUAGCAUACAUAUACAUAUAUGAGCAUGCGUAAGGUUUUUAUAAUUUUUCUAUAAUUUUAAAGUUUUUAAAUUGAUUUAUUUCCUCCCCUUUUUACUCAUUUAUAUUUUUAAAACAAAUUUGCAUAUAAUUGCAAUAUUAGCCCUAUUAAUGUAUAAUUACAUUUAUAUACAUAAAAUUGAUCUUCUAUAUUUUUAAAAUGUUAAAUAUCUAUUUUUAAUCAUUUUAUUACACGAAAUUAUUUUUUAGAAAUUGUCUAUUAUUUAUUAUAAAUUAUAUGGGUAUAAAUUGGCUAUUUAAAAUCUAGCCAUAUUGCAUUUCAAUUUUAGCCUCAAUUAAACCCAAUAUCCCAGCCCAAUUUCGGAUUAAAUAACCCGACCCAGGUCCUAAAUGCACCUGCCCGACCCAAAACCCAUCAGAUCCUGGUCGUUGAUCUUUUGAUCAACAACCCUCAUUCAUUCUUGCCUUUUUAUUCCAAACGACCCCAACCCUAACCAUUUUCCCACAUCCGCCGCCCUAAGAUCCUCUCUUCUCUCAAAACACUCUCAGCCUAACCCUAUCCCUUCAACCGCUGGCCUCUCUUCUCCGGUCAUCUCCGGUGACCUCUCAUCGUCUCCUAAGGUUCCUCUCAUGCCACGCUUGCCUUCUCUAAGGUCUUCAAGGGCUCAGGGCCAUGCCGACUUGCAUCGAGGGUUUGUCACUUGUUUGUUCUUGGCUACUCCAGUGUGAUUUCGAGCAAAGUCAUGUUGUAUUUGUUACGAUCCUUGGGAUUCUAGACAGGUUCUCUCAUCUCUAUAUGGGUUUCUUUUGAAACCCUCAUUUCUUCCUAUAUCUCCUAGAUCUGCAUAGAUCUAGGACGAUUUUGAGUUUGUUUCUUUAAUAUUUUACACUGUCCUUGGAACUCUUUACAAGAAUCGUUGAUUUCAAGUGUUUUUCACCUUCUUCUAAAAUUAGGGUUUUGGAACUUCUUUUAAAACUUUAUUUAACUGAUUCUUUAUUUUUAAACUUCAAUUUCUUGCAUAUUUUUGACUAAUUCUAUGAUUUUAUUACCUCUUCAAAUCGCAUAUGUUGAAAGCCCUAAUUUUCAAGGUUUCUUUGUUUGAUUCUGUGUAUCAGCAUGACUGACCGGUUCUUGUUUGAGUUUCUGUGACCAUCUUGCCUUGAAUAUGUUCCUACUGAGUUUUUUAGCCUAACUUAUAUUAACUCUAUGUGCUUGUAUUCAUCUUGACUGUAAGCACGUGAUUUUUGCUUCACAGACGCUCACUCCAAAAAGAAAUCAAAAAAUAAUGAUAAAUGGCCUCGCUGUACAGUUUUUCGAUUUUUCGUGACAUGUGCUGGUAGUCAUUUGUGGUUCUGUCCAUUUUUUUUUAUUUAAUCUUAUAUGUGUAACUGAACCGUGGGUCGGUCAUUAAAAGAAAAUUAAAAGAAAAUUCACAAAAAUAUGCAUCUUUUAUUCUAGGAUGUGAUUUAACCUAUUUUAAAAAAAUUUAACAUGUGUGUGAUAAAUGUGGGUGUCUUUAUUUCAUUUUUAUUUUUAAUUGUGUUUAAAAUUAGAAAACAAAAAAAAAGAGUGCAAAUUAUUCAGAAAAUCGGACUUGGGCCUGCUUGUUUUAAAUGUUUUAAGCACAAAAAGCAGCCCAAGUCAGCAGCCCAAGCAACCCGUCCCCAGGCCAUCAAAACGACGUAGUUCAAUACCAAGACUACGUCGUUUCGAGGACGGCUCAUCUCAGCCGUUCCAACCAAUCCAAUCCAACGGCCCUAAACCCCUUUUCUCGACCCGUUUCCAAGCCCGACCUACUUUAGAUGGAACGACACCGUUCCCCUUAAGGGAAGGGAUCUUAGCCUUUGAUUUCACUUGAUCUGACGGCCAUGAUUUAUUUUCCCCUUUCGUAUAUAAACCCCCCCAUCACACCCCAUGCCCCUAUCCAAGUCCCCACCCAAUCCAUCGUCCCCCAGACCAGCCUUAACACCCAAACCCUAGAGCCGCCAUAGCUUCCCUAUCACCUGAACCCGACAGCAAGGACGCCGGUGACCACCUCCUUAACACCCCUGAUGCACCUCAACCCCCUGAAUCCAAAUCCAUCAACAGUUUGGCUCGAAUCCUCCUCCACCUUCUCGAAUCUUCAUUGGAAGAUUCGAGACAAAACUCGAUCUACACCGAUCUACCCCAUAUUCACACUAGAUACUCCCCUGACAUCCCUCGUGACCAAACCAUGCUUGGUUUGGUCCGAAUCCACCCACAAAUCCCAAAAAAAACCAAAGCUGGAAAAGUCAAACCCUAGAACAUAAAGAUUUCGUGGGGUCUGUUUGAAUUUAGACAAGUUUGAAGUCUAGUGAACCUUAAUCGAAGUGUUCUUGGUCGAGAACACCUCGGUUAGGAUUUGUUCGACUUUAAACGGGCAAAUCAAGCCGAGCCUAGGGUCAGCUAUGUUUGAGGUUAUUCAGGUUUGCUCAUUUGUCCCUGUUGUUGUCCAUUUUUAGUUUAAUCUGUUGGCAUGUUUGGUUUGUUUGUCCGGUCCUGGGAUUUCUGUUAUCAGUUUGUCUCCCCAUCUAUACAAGACCUUUUGUUUAGUUUAUUCUAUUAUGUUAAGUUCAUGUGGUAGUGUCCUUAUUUCAAUUCAGUUUGUAUUCGUCAAACCAAUAAUGCCCGUUUGUUUUCCUGUAUCGUUGCAAAUUGCCAAGAACGUUGUUACACUUUGUUUUGUGUUGUUUUGUUUGGUUGAUUGCUUGUCCUGUAUCACAAUUAAUAUAGUCGAGUCGAUGUAUGUCGUCAAUUAGUUUCAGCCAUUGAAUGGUAACAAUUUGAUUCAUGUUGUUUGUGUUCUGCUGUGGUCGUAUUUGAAUUCAAUUAGGAACUGAAGUAUGUUGCCCAUUGAUUUGUUCAAUUUGAAUCAGAAAACAUUUAGGGGUGUGUUAUAAUGGCAGUUCAGACUUUGGUCUUAAAUGGAUAGCAUGUUUACUUGGUUCAGAUUUUGGGCAGCAUAUGCUUGGUCAGCUGUUAAGGAAUUUAAAUAAUUGUACAGCAUGUGCUGUCAGAUUAUAUUCCUGUUGCCCAUGCUUUGGCUAAAUAAAUAAGAGAUUAGGCCACUUUAACAACUAGAUAGAGAGGGGCUGUCGGGGGAUCUCAUGGGAGGUUUGGUUAUUUUAAAUAGUUGAGUGGAAAAACAGCAUGAAGGGGGAAUUCUGAGUUGUCCAACAGACUGUAAAGUGCUGAUGUUAGGCUAUAAAAGAGGCAGACCUUCCAUUAGAAAGGAGGAGGAUUUUGGAGUCUGGAGAGAGGUUUUAUGAGUUAGAAAAACUGAAAGAGAAAAACAGGAAGAAAUUUUCAGAACACUGUAACUAAACAAUGUCCAAAACUGCAUAAGAAAUUAAGUUGGUUAAGCUGUCUUGGCCAAGUCAGUUGUUCUAACUGGGGCUGUUACUAUUCCAUUAGGAAAUUCUGUUUGUUUUAUGCUGGGAUUACUACUAUUCUGAGUUUCUAUAUGUUGUGGAUUGAGUCUUGGUCUCGCUGAUUAUCGAAGCUGUGUUGGCUGUUUGCUGAGCUUUUGUGGUUAUUGAAUUUCUGUUGCUAUUGCAUUGAACAUUCUGGUUUUCUCGGCUGUAUUUUACUACUCUGUUUCCUGGGUUUGGUUUGCUUGGUGCUCGACCACUUGUGAGCUUCAUCAUUGUGGCUGGUUGUUGUUACUGUGUUUUUUGCUGUUUGGUUGCCUGUUGCUGAUACUUUUCUUCUUCUCCUUCUUAUCGUCCAAACAUCCAGGUACACAUUCUAAAUUCAUUGAUGUAAAUGGUGAAGUUUGGAGUUGAAUAAAGCAUGAGAAGUAUUGCAGUCCAAACAUUAGCAUAGUUACCAUUUUUCUGCUGCUUGUAGUUUAGAAUACUUGUAUAUUCAACAUGUAAAGUUUGGCUUUCAAACUAUGUAACGAAACAAUUUUUUUAGUCUUAUUGAGUUUGGUCCGGUUACCUGUUUGUUGUAUGUAAAUCAGAAAGAAGCUAGCUGAAGAAUAAUGAUACUCGGCCAACAAGGGUUUCACAUAGGGUCUGUUAAAAUAAAUGCAGUGAUCACAUUUGUGUCACCUUAAUUCAUCAGUAGGUAAUGUGUAUUUCAAAGGCAUAUUAGGCAAUUUGGAUUAUAGCAAAAAGAUAAAAAAAAAUAGUGUAGUUAAACACAUGGUAAUACCAUUUAAGAUAGGUAGGGUUAGUUUCAGUUGUUCCAUUUUUAAGUGUCAAGCAUGCAAGAAAUAAUUAACUGAACUUCGUACGUAUGCCCGUCAAUGAAUAAGGUCGAAUACGUCUAAUUUCUUCGCCUAAGAAUAAUCUUCUUCGAUAUUAUUGUGCGUCAAUCUCAUGUUUCAGUCUUCUUGAAUAAAAGAAUAUAGAACGAAAGCAAUCCCUUUUGUACAAACUCUGCUGCAAUUUUUCAUUUGUGUUAGUCGUAAACUAAUAACUAAUAAAUUACGUUUUUCAGCAUGUAAUUAAUUAAGAGUUUUUCCUUUAUUUUUAGAGACGAACUUAAUAGAAAAUGUAGUGGUUAUAGGUUUAUCUUUAAAAAAUAAAAAAUGAUAUGAGUCUCGCCGAAUAAAAAUGCAAAUCGCGGGGCCCUCAAUAAUUAGUCAUAAUAAAUACUUAGAAUUUGGGAUGGACUGUUUAGUGAAUUUCACUGUCUUCCCCAAAGAUAAUAACUCGUUAGCCUCUUUAGAUGCGAUCUAAUUAAAUUACUUUCUUAAACUCGGGUGCGCAUUUAUGUGACCCAAAUCCAAAUCUCAGCGGAGUUGAAAUGUGUCUCUGAUCACGGGUACAUUGAUUGUGACGUGGUUCGAGAUGCAUGUCCACGACGUUGCAAAUUCCUUUUAAAAAUAAUGAAUGAGAUGAGCCUCGACAAACAAAAUGCACAAGCUGCGGGGCCCUCCAAAUGUAUAUAUAUUAAAACACUUAGAAUUCGGGACAGGCCGUUUAGCGAAUUUUACGGCCUUCCCCAAAAUAACAAUACGCUAGUUGCGUUAGGCACGCCUUUAAUAAUUUAUUUUCCUUAACUCGGGUGCACAUUUAUGUGACCUAAAUCCAAAUCUCAACCGAGUCGAGAUAUGUCAAACAACCACGGGUGAUUGAUGUAACGUGGUUCGAGAUAUGUUUUCACGACGUUGCAACUCUCGUAAAAUAUAAUAAUGAAAGCAGUAAAAGUUAAAAUUUGCACAUAAGUUCAAUAUAUAAAAAAUCAGAUAAUCAAGCCGAAUAUAACAGUUGAGCGACCGUGCUAGAACCACGGAACUCGGGAAUGCCUAACACCUUCUCCCGGGUUAACAGAAUUCCUUAUCCGGAUUUCUGGUACGCAGACUGUAAUAUGGAGUCAUUUUUUCCUCGAUAUGGGAUUAAAAUUGGUGAGUUGGGACACCCUAAAUCUCCCAAGUGGCGACUCUGAAAUAAAUAAACACAUCCCGUUUCGAUUGUCCUUUAAUUGAAAAAAACUCCCCUGUACCCUCGCGGGUACGGAAAAAGGAGGUGUGACAUUGACUGUUCAAGACUUGACUCUUUCUAUCAGUGCUAUUUAACCUUCAUGUUUGCUAUGUCUGGUUAUUCUUAUCUUACCUAUUUAUAUGCUAAACACUGACUCAUGACUUUCUCUUUAAUUGAUUCUGGAUUCUCUGUUUCAUGGUUUUAUUGGAAGACCUUCCUUUAAACCUUUGAUUCCAAUCCUUUCUAUUCAAAUUGAUUGAUUCUCCUACCUUAUCUGCAUUGGUACCUUAUUCUUGCUGACUAUCUCCUUAAUUAGAGUUUUCUAAACUUAGCCCUAAUUGUUUACCCUAUACUUACUGUAUUUGAAACCUUUCCUUAUUGGUCAUACAUUGAUUUCUUUCUUUAUUUGUUACUUGUUCUUACCGUUUGAACCCAUUCCCUUAAAUUAAGGGAGUACUUGUACUGAUUUUUCUCUGAUUGGUUCUGAGUUAAAUAAUUACUAUACUAUUGUGAUUCUUGCCUUAUUUUACCUAGUUUUGAACUAUUAUAUAUACAUACUCUCUCAUUAACACAAACACACGAACACAUUAGUUCAAAAAGCUCUCUCACACUCAAAACUUUCUGCUAUCUCUUUGGUUACUUGCUAUUAUUCUGAGUUAGUCGGCUGCAAGCUAAGGCUAACUAUUGUGCUUUCCUAUUCCUCACUUUGUGUUUACCAUCUCUCUACAGGUAAGUUCUGAUUUCAAUUCAAGUCUCAAAACCAAUAUGUUUCUUUUACUACUUCACUUUAUCAUGUUUCUCAUUUGCUUCUAUCUAUGGUUCUGUUGUUCAACAUGCAAUUGUCAUGUUUACAUUAUUGCUUCAUAUAGCAUGCUAAUCUAACCUUCUUAGGGCUUUUCAGAACAUGUUCUACCCCCUCCCCUAGUAGUCUGUCUCAACAUGACUCUACCCUGCUUCGAAUGCUUGUCUACUUGUUAUCCAAUUUUGAUAUGCAAGCUGACCUGUCACUUUAAAUGGCUGAUUCUAUGGUUGUUUAUGAAACUCCUACGUAUUGGUACCAAUAACUAUCCCUUAAACCCCACAAGAUUUGCUAUGCUCAUGAUACUAUGUGCUAUGUGUGUCCCCAAUUCCCAUUCCCUUGUAUGAAGGACUGUUACUUGAGUAUUGUUGAACUUGUAUGACUGACCUGCUAUUUGUUUAAUUACACCACUAUUUUCAAAAGUUGUUUACCCAACAACUCUCUUGCUUACAAGUUAUUUCAACUAAGUCUCUUUUUUAACACUGUUUUCCUACUAAAAACCUUUCAAACUAUGUCAAGCACUCUCACUUUACUCCUAUGUCCCUAGGUUCUGCCCCCUCCAGUGUGUGUACUGCCUUGGGAUCCUCUUGAGAUCUCUCUGAACUUUGGCACACUGAGGCUGAUCAUUCCACACUGCACUUACUGAAUUUGGUUACAAAGUCUAGGUGUGAGCACUGCCCAGGAUCCUUGAGACCCUUAGGGAACUCUGACGCACCUAGACAAUGAUAUUGUUUAUGAAAUUGGCCUUUAAGGCUAUUGGAGGUUUGGGAAACCACUUGGGCAUGCUUGAGGCUCCCUAUAGUGUAACUUCUUCUUUUUCUUCUUAUUUGUUUAUGUAAUUCAUUCAUCUAGUUUGUAAUAAUUUAUAAACGAAUAUUGGGGUAACUAGUGAAAAAGGGUGGGUAGUUACAUAUUUGUGGGGUAAUAUGGGUAGAAACCAUGCCUAUAGGAUCUCAUAUUUGAUAUGUCUGCUCUGCCAUGUUAGAAACCAUGCCUAUAGGAUUUCAUAUAUUUUCUAUGUUUGCCUCACCAAGUUAGAAAUCAUGCCUAUAGGUUUUACAACCAAUUUUACAAAUAGAUAUCAUACUUAAGCAUGUGAUCAAGUUCAAGUUUCUGUUCCAAUGGUUGUUUACAUUUAUUUCCACUAGAAAUCAUGCCUAUAAGUUUAUAAACUACUAGAUAUCAUGCUCAUAGGUAACAACAUCAGAAAUUCUGCAUAUAGAUCCAAAAUCAGUUUAGUUUAAAUAAGUCAAUCCAGUUCCCGAUCAGUUUACUUUGAAACUGGUCUAAUUAGUGGUUUGUUUUCCCCGAAAUGAAUUCUUUCGAGUACUGCUCUAAUUUACUAUUAGAAAGCAUGCGUAUAGGAACUCAAGUGUCUGUUUUAAAAUUUGCCCACUGUUUUACUAUAUCAAACGUAGUUAUCAUGCUCUUAGGACACCACUAUUCAGCGUAUAGACAAGCCUAUAGGGCAUUUUCAAAUCCUGCAACUCUGGAACUAUUUCUGCUACUUAAUGUUGUUUUGAUUAACAAGCUUAAAAUCAGUAGGCAAACUGAUAGGGCCAUUACUUCUGAGUUUAUAAAAAAUAAACCGCAUAUCUUCUAUGUCUUGAUAUUUAUUUAGACAUCAUGUCUUAGGAUACCGUUUAACAAUACGACCCUGAUUUGUGUUUGAGUUAUGCUGCUUAUGUGCGUUGUUUGUGGAGGUAAACUUGAGCCUCUAAUUGCUUCUUUUCUGCCUUAUGUGCUAAGGUCCUAUUUGUUCUUUCCUGUCGCCUUAGUAUUUUUUCCUUUAAACCUUAGGGGUCUGUCUAGAACUGUCUAUAGGUAGAGGUCCUAAAUUUCCUCUAGGACCAUUAAGAAGGGACAGGUAACAACACGCAAUAGAGAUCGCUAACCGACACUCACUUUAAUAACCACUAAGGGGGUGGGAAGGGUAGAUAUGUGAUAUGAUGACUACGUGCUAAUGUCACGUGUAGCCCCUCAUUGAGGAGUGUUUAUCGAACAUUGUGUGGGGUGAUCAUGUAAGCUAACCAACCUAAGACCCCUCCUUUCCCAAAUCCCUUUCGUUAAAACUUUGUUUUAUAUGUAUACGACUUGUUCAAAAUCUUUGUCUUAUUAUACAACGUCCAACGUGCUUUACUUGCAAAUUAUUUGAUUUUACUAUUUAUUUAUUAAUGGACUAAUUCAUAAGUUAAGUUCGGUCGGGACCCACUAUUGUGGACUGCGAGGGGUGCCUAACACCUUCCCCUCAAGGUUAUUUCGAGCCCUUACCUUAAAUCUCUUGUAAUGCAAACCAAUCCAAGAGUUAAUUGCUUUAGGUGCCCUAAUGCACCAUAAUCCCUUAGGCGGCGACUCUUCAAAUACCCAAUUCCCAAAAGAAAACGAGUUGUUCUCCAUGAAUGUCGAAACUCGGACUUUUCUCUGCAGAGGAAAAAAGGGGGCGUGACAAGGGUCUUCUUACACAAACUGAUCAUUUGGCUACAGUGGCCACCAUUUAUAAAAAUGGUACUUGAGACACAUCCUCCAUAUACCUAAGCAUCCCUCAUAACAUGAGAGAUCUAAUUUAAUCUACUUCCAUCGCACCUAGUCUCUAUAAAGGAGGUCAAAAUGAUUUGGGGCAAAACAAACAAUGACCUCUUCAGUACUAAAUCAGCAUAUACCUUCCUUGCAAACAAGGCUCUCCAACAUCUGGCUGGAAGGUUAAUCAACAUCUACAUGUGGAUUUGGAAGCUAAGGAUACCUAACAAGAUUAAGACCUCCCUAUGACUCCUAUUCCGUGGAAGGCUUCCUACAAGGGCCUAUCUUCAAAAAAUUUGGGUCCCUUGUAAUCCCAUGUGUUGCUUCCACUAUGCUGAAAUUGAGACAUCUUCCCACAUUUUCUUUGAAUCCCCCAAUGCGAAAACAUUCUGGCUGCACAUAAUCUCCAAAAGCACCACCACAACCCCCAUAUCAGAACCUCACCUUCAUAAAUAGUUCUUGGUCUAACAUUGGGUCAACCUUACGGAGCAAGCCUUUCAACAAUAUUCUUUGCUGGGAAGACCUUUUUCCGUUUAACUUAUGACAGUUGUGGAUUACUAGGAACAAUAAUCUCUUCAACAAUAAAAAAGAUCAAGUCCCUACCUCUAAUGUCCUAGCAAGGGCAACUGAGUAUAUUACUAUCUCAACUGGGCACACAUCCAGAAAAGAGAAGAUCAUCUAGGUCAAAUGGGAUCCUCCACCAAGGGGCCAAUACAAGCUCAACAUUAAUAGGGUUGUACUUGGGAACACUGGGAAGGGUGGUGUGGGAAACAUUUUCAGAAAUUCCAGCGACAACUGGGUUCUGGGAUUCAUAAGAAGCCUUUCACACUCCACUAAUAGUUGUGCUCCUUGCACUACUUAAGGGACUGCAAAUUAUAGAGCAAAGAGGACUUACACCCCUAGAAAACAACAUAGACUCGACAGAGGUAAUAAAAUGCUUAAUUUACGUAUUUGACUCAAUUAUUUGUGAAUGUAGAUCGGUCAUCCUAAGAUUGGGAGACACAAUGGUGAAAACAACUAUAGGGAGAUGAACAAAGUAGCUAAUCUGAAGGCAAAACAGGGAGCAUUGAAAGACCUUUUUGGAAGAACAACAAUCGUGGCAGUUCCUUCGGUGUUUGCAAAUGAAACUUUUUGGGCAGACAUUCUAGGAACUAUUUUUUCUAAAAGGAUUUUGGACUGUAAUAUUAAUACUGUGGAAUAAAACUUAGGGGCACUUCAUACGAUGUAUCUUCCUCGGGUUUUCUUAUUUUGAAUGAGAGUCUCUUCCUGAUGGUCCCAUGUAAGGCUCGUACCUAUUUUUACCGAACCUUUUUUAGUUUCAGCUUGUCUUGUACUUACCCUUUCCUCUUUUUGAGACUGAGUGAUGAUAUCCUCUUCUAUCCGUGGAUUCAUGUUGUAUCUAUUGUAAACAUCAUUCCAUUUUGUUGUUGGAGAUUCUCAUAGACUUUCCUUAAGUCUUCUCGUGGCUUCUGAACUUUUCUCAUUUAGAUUACUAGAAAAUGCCAUAGAUGCCCAGUUAUCAGGUACACGUGGCAACACCAUCCUCUCACGCUGGAAUCUGUCUAUGAAUUCCCUGAGCAGCUCCGUAUCUCCUUGUUUUAUUUUGAAAAUGUCCAACAUUCUUUUUUCAACUUUUUGAGCUCCCGAGUGUGCUUUGAUAAAUGAAUUUGCAAGCUCAGCAAAAGAAUCUAUAGAAUUUUUGGGUAAAAGAGAGUACCAUGUUAAUGCUCCCUUAGUGAGUGUUUCACCGAAUUUUUUGACCAAUACUGAUUCAAUUUCUUACUUUGUCAAGCCAUGUUAAUCGAUGGCUUGAUCAUUUGCAAGUCUAUUAUUUUCAUUCGAUUUAGAUCUAUUAGGAGACCCCUCUCGUGAUUGUCGCUGAGAAUGUUGUGGAGAAGGAUGGGGAGUUCUGUCACCUUGUUGGUUCAGUUGUUGUGGAUCUACUUGGAGUGGUAAAUUUUGUUGGUUAUUGUCUUUGACAUUCGACAUGAUAGUUUUCGAUAAAGAAUCGAUUUGGAAAGCAGAAGAUAAUCAGAUUCCCGACAACGGAACCAAUUUGUUUAACCAAAAAAUAGAAAUUUCGUUCAAAGUUACUUUUAGAAGAACUCGGGUUACUGAUAAUCAAAUAUAAAACAAACAAGAAAAAUUGACUUAAAUGAUAACAUAAUAAGUAAAAGAAAGCAAAGUAAAUCAGUUUAUUCCAAUGAUAUAUUGUGUCUUUACAAAUGUUAUUUCUCUAUUUUUAUAGCUAUUUCUAAGUAAUACGUUUCUUUCCUCUCAUAACAGAGCCAUUAUGAGCCUUUAAUGGUAUUAAUGUAAUGUUAUAAUUGGCAAUCGUAACUGUUUCGUGAAGAUUCUAUAACGUUUUUCAUCAUUGAUGCUCAUUAAUCACGGAUAAUACGUAUCUAUACUUUUUUGCUAUCUAAGUUCACUCAUCCGAUGCCUCUUCAAAUUAUCAAGAGGUCCGAAUAACCGUUCCUUCCUAUUUUCUUGAAUCUUUACCCGCACCUGUUAAGGUUCGUGCCUCUUCGACUAUUCUCUGUCAGUUGUCAUUCUGUUAUUGAUCCACGUGUCUUGACGUGUCAGCACUUAAUUACUUCCAAAUGUUAACUUGAUUUUUUCCAAUACAGAUAGUCCCCCCAUUUUUCAUUUAUUCAUCAAUUGAAUAUUUGGGAAGUGGAUCUCAUACAAGCAGGAAUUUUUGCUGCCAUUCUUCGUAUCAUUAUAACUUCUCUAAAAUUGACGCUUUGCAUGUCACUUCCAUUUAAUGCCCGUGACACAUGGUGGCUUUUGAUUGGUUUUGCAACCUUUCAGCGCCUUUUGAGGCUUUUUCCGACGUGCAUCAAUCACGAAGUGACAGUUCUCAUUAUGAUGUUCUUAUCAUUACCUUUUUGUUUGAUGGUUGUUUUUGAGUAUAAAUAUAACCUUUGUCUUUUCUUUUCCAUAAAAGUUUUCCAUCUUUGAAUAUUUAUUCUUGUCUUCUUCCUCGUACAUCUAUGUCUUCUUUGAACCCUAAUCCCCGAAGAGUUCCUAUUGUUGAUGAACUUCCCCUUGUUCAUGUUAGAAGCAGAAGAGGGGGAAGACUAUGCAGUUUAGGAUCAUCAUUUAUUCGAGGUGCUUCUUUGCCUCCACCUAGUUCUACCCCUCCUUCUUCUUCUAGAACUAGGGGUUCUCUUUUACAUAGAUCUUCUGCCAGAAGUAGGGAUUCCAGUGAGCCAAUCCGUGAACCUAUAGUAGACGAAAAUAUCCCUUCUGAACUUUCCUUCUAUUCCGAUAGAGAAUCAAUUAGAAACCAGGUUUCCUCUAUGUCCUCUCAUGAUCGUACUGACGUUUACCUUUCUUAAAUUACUGAAGGUUUAAUCUCUAUUGUCCGUAGAGAUUGCCAUUGGAAAUGUGACUUCCCAAUCAUAAUUCCUAAUACAAAUCAAAGAAUCACAUCCUACAUGACUAGAUUUUCUUUCGUGUAUACAUAUCCUUUUACACUGAAUUUUAGACCCCUCAUUGAUCCUAUUAUCAUCGAGUUCUGUCGUUAUUUCAAUGUUUGUUUAGGACAAAUUAACCCCAUUGUAUGGAGGGUUGUAGCUUGUUUAAGGUACUUGGCGAACUUGGCUCAAUUGCCUUUUACUUUUUUUCAUCUAAUCCACCUCUACUCCCCUAAGCUAUUCCAACAUGGGAUCUUUACUUUGGUGGCGAGGAGUAAUAGGGUUUUAGUCAGCCCUGAGGAUGACAAGGACCGUGGCUGGUAUGCCAGAUUUGUUGCUGCUCCUACUAUAGGGUUAGUAGGCGAAGAAAAUACUCCAUUCCCUAAAAAGUUGAAUUUUGCACGUAAGUUUUCUUAAAAACUUUCUCUUUCCUCUUUUUCCGUUUUCCCCCUUUUUUUUGAAAAGGUUUGUUCUUCUCGUGACUAUUUCACUUUUUCUUUUUUCAGCAACCAUGGGAACUGUUGAAGAGAUUCCCAAUUUCGUGGUUGGGUAGAGAAAUUAUUGACCAUUGUUCUAAUGGAGACUAGAUCUUGGAAAUACCUUUCGAACAGGUUUGGUUGGAAGGUUAAAAUUCAUGGUAAAAACUUUACUCUUUCCCUUUCUAUUUUUGUUCAUCUUUCAUUUAGAAUGUAUUUGACCCGUCUUUUUAUCAGGGUUUCCUAUUCAUGGUGUUAGUGCCAAGUCAAUCGUAGCUUCCAGGGUUUCUUUGGCAAGAGCUCAAGAGAUAAUUUUGAGUUCUUCAUCGAAAAGGAAAGUUUAUGCGUCCCAGGAUUCUGAGGAGGAAGAGGAACGAGAUGGAAGUUCCUUGGUUAGAAGGUCGCGGGCUAGAAGACGUGUCAUUUCGGAUGAUGAAGCUACUCCUCCCCGUUUUAUUCCUGUGACUGAGCCUGUUGAAGCCACCUUAGUGAGUUCCGAUGACAAUACUCCUAUGGCAGCUCGUGACUCCGAUGAACAACUUUUUCCCGUGGGUUUGAUAGUGAAAAUUUUGAUUUGGUGUCUGAUAAAGUACCUCUUGCCUCUUUCUCCAUGUCUGUUCCAGUGGAAUGUUCUUUACCUGUUUCUACUGUUGUUUUUUCUUCCCUGCUUCAAGCUAUUAUGACUUCCUCUACAGUCCCCACUACUAUUGUUCCUCACACUUGAGUUGGUUCUUCAAGUGGAAGUAGAGUGAUGAAGUAGAUUACCAUUGAAGUCCCUACAGAUGGUAGUCUUUUGAAAAAGUCAGGUCAGGCAGACGUAUAGUUGAAACCCUUGAUUGGUUCGGUUGAAAAGUCCAAACUAGAAAGUCAUAGUUCUCUGACUUGGAUGAAUGAUAUCGUGUCGUCAUCACUGAAGGUAUUAAUGUCUUUUCAUGUUUUAUUUCAUUCUCUUUUUACCAGGAUUCUUAUCCCUUUUUUUAGAUCAAUCUCAUCGGUACAGAGAUGAUGAAAAGGGUUUCCCAUACAGAGCAGUUGAUGCAUGAUUAUCAAAUUGAGGCAAACAAUUGGAAAGAACAAUAUGAAAGUCUUCAGCUUGACAUGGAAGUUUUAGAAGAAAUCAAAUGUACCUUAGAGCAGCAGUUGAGGGACAUGGCUUCGGAGUUAGCAGUUGAAAAAGCUUCUUCCAACCAGGCAGGCAAGGAUAAAACUCUCCUUGAGUCAUCAGUUGCCGAACAACUCUCCAAAGCCACCAAGGAGAUAAGAGGUUUGAGGGCCUUGUUGAACGAGAAAGAAGUCUAUGCUGGAGAACUUGUUCAAACACUCACCCAGACCCAAGAGGAUCUUCGUGUGUCUUCUGAUAAGGUCAAGUUUUUGGAGAGUUCACUUGCCUCUUUACAGUCUUCUUACGAUGGUGUUUUAGCUGAAAGGGAGGAGCUCAAGAGUGAAAUUGACCAUUGGGAAAGAGACUACGAGGCUCUUGAGGACAAAGCUGAUGUCGAAGUAAGUUGGGCUAUAUUGAACACACGCCAUGACACCCUUAUAGAGGUUAGCCAAAAAGGUUUUAACUUAGGUGCUGAGUUAGCAAAGAUUAAGGAAACCAUUGAGAAAACUCAGCAAGUCCAAAGUUUCUCUUCUCCCAUGGCUGAUACUCCCGAGCACGUUGAAGAUGACUCUAGUGUGGUGGGUAUCCCAACUCCUUGAGAUCAAAUCGAGCCUUUUGUUGCUGGUGAUGUUGUUUUGAACCCUUCUCCCGCUCCAUAGUGAAAGUUUAUUGGUGAAGUUUGACUUCCUUUUUUUCCUUUUUGGUGGAAUAUGUGGUGGUUUUACCCCUGGUCCCAUUUGGGGGUUAUGUUUUUUGGUGAUAACAAGUCCUCAGGUCCUUUCGGGGUUUUUUGUAACAAGACAAUCAAUUUAUAACUAAGUUCAUACUUAGUUUUAACUUAAUAUUAUUAAGUUUCGAGUUUCUGCUAUACUCUUUUAGUAAUUUUCCUUGUUUUUUAUAAGUCCAAGGUCUUGCUUUUUAAUUCGUGGGUUUUUGUAUUACCCUUUUGACUUUUUGCAUUUUUAGAAAUGAUUUAUUAACUUCAUGGAUCUUUAAAUCAAACAUGAAUUUAUAAAAGAGGGCCCUUUUAUAUACGAAACUUAAUGAAGAAGACGCCUCAACUUCAUAAUGGUGUAAACAUACGAAAGGAGAAAUAGGAACACACAUGUUUCUUGAAAUAACUUUGAUAAAGUUUUCAUUCGAACUUUGUCAAGUUUAGAUAACAUCUUACAUGUAUUUAACUAUCUUCUAUUACUCUUCCGUAAAUAUUUUCUUUACAACAGAUUUACAAAAAAGAAAAUCCAAGGGUUUCUUUAUGACCCAUGGCUAAAUAAUGUCUUUAACCUAAACAUCCGUAAGAUUCUGAAAUUUGUAUCCACAAGUGUCUUCUUCACAGGUUUUUGGAUCAGGCUUGCAUUUUAGGCUCGUGACUUUGCUCUGAACUUGAUAUUUAUUGAGUAAACUUUAGGCUUGACUUGAAAUUUAAUCAUUUCAGCCUUCUUUGCCUUCCUUAUACAUACAUCAUAUGUAUAUUAUAUAGUCCCCCAAGUGUUUGAGAUUUAAAGUAUGAAAUCUCGAGCACUUGAUUAUUUAUUCCAUGUGGUCCUUUUCCUGAAAAUGAAAAACAUACGGGACUCGGAGGUACGAUUCUAGAUGAAGACUGCUUAACCCAUUUAAAUUUCCAUCAGAAUAGUUGUAACCCUAGACCGGGAAUUAUGUUCUUUCCACGUGUCUUUUAGGUCGUAAUUCAUCAUUUAGUACGGGCUAGCUUUCUGCCUAUCAUCGAAAAUCAUUAGUAAAAUUUUAAUAAUUCAAAAUAAAAAUCGUUAGUGAGGAUACCUACCCGUUGGUAUUUUCUUCCCUUAGAAGUAGUAUCUCUUCAGGUGAACAACAUUCCAAUUUGAAGGUAGAAUCUUGCCAUCCAACGUUUCAAGCUCGUAUGCUCCUUUUCCUGCGAUACCAUGAACCUUAUAAGGCCCUUCCCAAGUUGGACUUAGCUUUCCUGCAUUGGUUGCCCUCGUGGAUUGGAAAACUUUCUUGAGUACGUAAUCCCCAAUCUUGAAGUAUCUGAGACGAGCUUUCCUAUUGUAAUACCGCUCAAUAACUUGUUUUUGUGUUGCCAUCUUUAUUAGUGCAUUUUCCCUUCUUUCUUCAAGCAAAUCCAGGUUUACCCGCAUCUUUUAUUCGUUCGAUUCUUUGGUGGCUUGAAUAUAUCUCGUACUUGGUUCCCCUAUCUCGACUGGAAUUAAGGCUUCAGCUCCAUAAACAAGUGAAAAUAGUAUUUCUCCCGUAAUAGUUUUUGCUAUUAUUCGAUAAGCCCAUAAGAUUCCAGGUAGUACCUCUGGCCAAUUGCCUUUAGAUUCUUCCAGUCUUUUAUUCAAGUUAUUGAUAAUGACUUUAUUUGUUGAUUCAACUUGUCAGUUACCCACCGGAUGGUAAGGAGUUGAAAUAAUCCUUUUAAUUCGCCAACUUUGGAAAAUUCUAUGAUUUGUGCACCUAUAAAUUGCGGGCCGUUAUCACAUACGAUUUCCUUUGGUACCCCAAAUCGGCAUAUGAUAUUCCGACAUAUGAAGUCUCUGACCUCUUUUUCUCAUACCUGUUUGAAAGCUCCCGCUUCUACCCAUUUAGUAAAAUAGUGAGUGAGCACUAAUAAAAAUCUUACCUUGCCUUUGGCUUGUGGUAGUGGAUCUACGAUAUCCAUUCUCCACUUCAUAAAAGGCCAUGGUGCAACGACUAGAUGUAAUAAUUCAGCUGGUCGAUGCAUUUGUUACCAUAUCUUUGGCACUUGUCACAUUUUACCAUAAAAUUUUCCGCGUCUUCUUCCAUUUUUGGCCAAUAAUAGCCGGCUCUAAUCAUAGUUUUUACCAAAAUCUUCCUCCAGCAUAAUUUCCACAAUGUCCCUUGUGUAUUUCUCUCAUCACGUACUCUGUUUGAGAAGGCCCAAGGCAUCUUGUUAGAGGACCACCGAACAUUUUUCGAUAAAGAUUGCCUUGCUUUAAACAGUAGCGAGCAACUUUUUUGCGAAGUGCUUGAGCUUUUUUCUUAUCCUCAGGUAAAAUUCCAUGCUGCAAAAAAUUGACAAUCUCGUUCCUCCAAUCCCAAGUUAGAUUAUUGUAAUUCACCUCGUUUUUGUCUUGAUCGAGUACUGAAUGAAACAAAUGAAUCACAUAAGCAUUCUCUUCAUUUGUCACUUCUGCAGCAGAUUCAAGAUUAGCUAGGGCAUCUGCCUCGGCAUUUUCUUCCCUUGGUAUUUGCAUGACUUUCCAAGUGUGAAAUUACCUGACCAAAUCUAGUGCCUUUUCCAGGUAUUGCUGCAUCCUCACCUUUUUGGCUGUAUAAGUCCCCUGCAUCUGGUUAACAACAAGUUGCGAGUCACUUUUGAUUAUUACCUGCUAUAUUCCGAGCUCUCGUGCCAACUCUAAACCUGCAAUUACAGCUUUAUAUUCUGCCUCAUUAUUAGUGAUUGGAUGACACUUUAUUACUUGUCUUAUGGUUUCACCCGUAUGUGGUACCAGGACAAUGCCGAGACCUGCUCCUUUUACAUUUGAUGAUCCGUCAGUAAAUAAGGUCCAUGUACCUGGAUUAGAUCCGUUAAAUACCUGGAGUUCUUUUUCUGCUUCUAACUGUAUACCUUGGCUAAAAUCUGCCAUAAAAUAUGCUAGAACUUGUGAUUUUAUUGCAGUUCUAGGUUGAUAUGUAAUGUUAUAUUCACUUAGUUCUAUAGUCCACUUGACUAAUCUACUAUAUAACUCUUGUUUAUGUAAUAUAUUACGUAAGGAGUAGGCGAUUACCACAGAAAUAGGAUGACAUUGGAAAUAAGGUCUUAAUUUCCUAGAUACCAUAAUCAAAGCUAAUGCAAGUUUCUCUAAAUGAGGAUAUCGAGUCUCAGCAUCUAGCAAAGAUUUGCUAACAUAAUAGAUUGGUGAUUGUUUACCUUGAUCUUCCCGAACUAAUACGACACUUACCGCUACUUCUGAAACUGAAAGGUAGACAAGCAAUUUCUCCUCUUCUUUUGGUUUUGCUAGCAGUGGUGGAUUUGACAGGUACGCCUUUAAAUUCUUAAGAUUUGUUGAUAUUCUUUAGACCAUUCAAAUUGGUUCUGCUUUUUUUUUAAAGCUGAAAAGAAUUUGAAGCAUUUUACUGAUGACUUGGAAAUAAAACUGCCUAAGGCUGCUAUUCUUCGUAUGAGCCUUUGAACUUCUUUUUUUCUCGUGAGUAUGUCUGGAAUCUCUUCGAUAGCAUUAAUAUGCGCAGGAUUUACUUCAAUGCCACGGUUAGAAACAAGAAAUCCUAAGAACUUACCUGAUGAGAUGCCAACUGCACAUUUCUCAGGAUUCAACUUCAUGUUGAAUUUGCGAAGAAUCUGAAAUGUAUCAGUCAAGUGUUGAAUAUGGUCCCCUGUUUGUUGUGAUUUGACCAACAUAUCAUUUAUAUACACUUCCAUGGUUUUGCCUAAAUGUUCUUGGAAUAUUUUGGUCACUAGCCUUUGGUAUGUGGCCCCAUCAUUCUUCAAACCAAAUGGCAUGACUUUGUAACAGUAAGUCCCCCUGUCCGUGAUGAAAGAAGUUUUUCUUCAUCUAGAGGAUCCAUUUUAAUCUCAUUAUAUCCUGAAUAGGCAUCUAAAAAACUUAACAAUUCAUGCCCUAUAGUAGCAUCAAUUAGUUGAUUUAUAUGCGGUAAUGGAAACGAAUCUUUAGGGCAAGCUUUAUUCAAAUCAGUAUAAUCUACACAAACUCGCCACUUACCAUUCUUUUUAGGUACUACCACGGUAUUAGCUAACCAAUCUGGAUACUUUACCUUGCGGAUAUACCCAAUUUUUAAAAGUUUCUGCACCUUAUCUUGAAUCACCAGCCUUGCUUCCUUUUCUUUUGUUUGACAAGUGGAUACAAUGGAUCUUUACUUAAUUUGUGGGUCAUUACCUCCAGUGGUAUAUCUGUCAUGUCUGAAUGGGACCAAGUAAAACAAUCUGCGUUAGCUUCUAAAAAUUCAAUCAACUUACGUUUUAUUUUCGGGCUGAGGUUGGUUCCAAUGUAAACUUUUUUGUUUGGACAAUGUACAAACAUCACCACAGCUUCCAGUUCCUUGAUCAUUGUCUUGAUAUUUUCAUUUUCUUCUAGUUCUUGAAUAGUAUCGGGCCUGGAAUCUACACAUGUUUGCCCAUCUUCAGUUGAGGUUCGUGUUGAUGCGUCCUCAACUAUAUUCUAUGAUUGCUAUUUUUAUUACUUUUGGCGUUUGAAUCUGCCAGAGAAUUAAUACUUCGUGAAGCUUGUUGGUUACCACAGAUUUUUCGUAUCCUCCAUUGUGAUGGAAAUUUGAUAACUUGAUGUAGAGUAGAUGGUACAAUGUCCAUUUCGUGAAUCUAUGGUCUACCGAGAAUCAUAUUGUAAGCCAUAUCCAUUUCUAUGACCUGAAAUUUUGUAUCUUUGACGACUCCUUCUGUGAAUGUGGUGAGUAUUAUCUCCCCUUUUGUUACGAUGCUCGAGUUAUCAAAACCAGAUAAUGUGUUUGCCUUGGGUAUCGGCUUAUCAUCAGCUUGCAUCUCGUUUACCGCUCUUAACAUAAUGAUAUUCACGGAACUACCUGGAUCAAUCAAAACUCAUUUUACAUUAAUGUCAUGUACAAGUAAAGAGAUUACCAGUACAUCAUUAUGCGGGGUUAGCACGCCAUCUGCAUCUACAUCAUCAAAUGUAAUACUUUCUUCUUCCAAAACCUGUCGAAUUCGCUUCCCGUGUGUGACUGUAAUUUUUGAAACUUUCUUUGCUGACGUAUAUAUUACGUCAUUAAUCUCUUCUCCUCCGCUUAUGACAUUAACCGUCCUUUUUGGUGAAAGGGGUUUAGGGGGCUCCUGGCUAUUCUUCAUAUACGCUUGCUUACCCCUUUCACCAAACAAUUCGGUUAGAUACCCCUGUUUUAAUAAAUGUUCAACUUCGCCUUGCAACAAUCUACAAUCCACCAUUUUAUGACCGUGAUCGUUGUGAAACUCGUACCAAAAAUCAGGAUUUCACCUAUUUGAGUUUGAUCUCAUUUCCUUUGGCCAGCGUACCUUGUCUCCCAUGUUCCUUAAAACAGCCACCAAUUUGGAUGUGCUAACAUUAAAACUGUAACCGCCAAUCUUUGCCUUCGAGCUUCUGUCAUCAUCUUGCACCUCUCGCGUGUUUCAUUCUUUUCCGAACCUUGAUGAUGAACCUAACUCCCUAUCUCGUGAUCUAUGAUCGUACCUCGGGUUUUCUUGUUUUGAACGAGAGUCUCUUCCAGAUGGUCCCAUGUAAGGCUCAAACCUAUUUUUACCUGACCUUUUUUCAAUUUCAGCUCAUCUUGUACUUACCCUUUCCUCUUUUCGAGACUGAGUGAUGGUAUUCUCUUCUAUCCGCAUCUUCGUGUUGUAUAUGUUGUAAAUAUCAUUCCAAGUUGUUGCUGGAAAUUCUCGUAGACUUUCCUUAAAUCUUCUCGUGACCUCUGAACUUUUCUCAUUUAGAUUACUAGCAAACGCCAUAGCUGCCCAGUUAUUAGGUACACGUGGCAACAUCAUCCUCUCACGCUAGAAUCUGUCUACGAAUUCCCUUAGCAGCUCUGUAUCUUCUUGUUUAUUUUGAAAAUGUCCUCCAUUCUCUUUUCAACUUUUUGAGCUCCCCAGUGAGCUUGGAUAAAUGAAUCUGCAAGCUCAGUAAAAGAAUCUAUAGAAUUUUCGGGUAAAAGAGAGUACCAUGUUAAUGCUCCCUUAGUGAGUGUUUCGCCGAAUUUUUUGACCAAUACCGAUUCAAUUUCUUGCUUGAUCAAGUCAUGUUAAUCGAUGUCUUGAUCAUUUGCAAGUCUAUCAUUUUCAUUCGAUUAAGAUAUGUUAGGAAACCCCUCUCGUGAUUGUCGUUAAGAAUGUUGUGGCGAAGGAGGGGGAGUUCUGUCACCUUGUUGGUUCAGCUGUUGUGGAUCUCCUUGGAGUGAUAAAUUUUGUUGGUUAUUGUCGUUGACAUUCAACAUGAUUAUUUUUGAUAAAUAAUCGAUUUGGAAAGCAGAAGAUUAUCAGAUUUCCCGCAAUGGAACCAAUUUGUUUAACCAGAAAAUAGGAAUUCGGUCAAUGCUUACUUUUAUAAGAACUCGGGUUACUGAUAAUCAAAUAUAAAACAAAUAAGAGAAAUUGACUUAAAUGAUAGCAGAAUAAGUAAAAGAAAGCAAAGUAAAUUAGUGUAUCCCAAUGAUAUAUUGUAUCUUUACAAAUGUUAUUUCUCUCCUUUUAUAGCUAUUUCUAAGUAAUACGUUUCUUUCCUCUCAUAACAGAGCCAUUAUGAGCAUUUAAUGGUAUUAAUGUAACGUUAUAAUUGGCAAUCAUAACUGUUUCGUGAAGAUUCUAUAACGUUUUUCAUCAUUGAUGCUCAUUAAUCACGGAUAAUACGUAUCUAUACUUUUUUGCUAUCUAGAUUCACUGCUCCGAUGCCUCUUCAAAUUAUCAAGAGGUCCGAAUAACCGUUCCUUCUUGUUUUUUUGAAUUUUUACCCGUGCCUGUUAAAGUUCGUGCCUCUUCAACUAUUCUCUGUCAGCUGUCAUUCUGUUAUUGAUCCAUGUGUCUUGACAUGUGAGCACUUAAUUAAUUCCAGAUGUUAACUUGAUUUUUCCUAAUACAAGCAUAACGACUAAUCAGUUCAUUGUACAGUUAACCCUUUUAAAACUUUAUAACCUUUCAAAGAUAAAUGCUUAUGUUCUAUAAAUAAAAAUGUCUUUGUUUAGUCAAUAGUAGGAUAUGUUAUAUUAUACCAGGAGCAUUAUUUAUUCUUUCUAAAAGUCGAACAAACGUUUCCAGAUUAAGUGCUUCUACAUAUUUUCUUAUUUUUGGCGAUCAUAUAUUUACGUGGAGAAAAGUUUAACAUCGUUUAGAUGAUCGAGACUUAACAUAUAAAGCAUGUGACUAGUGUUUUUUGCACUAUGAUAGUCAAAAGCUAAAUAGUGGACAAUUCAAAUACACAAAAAAUUAUAACAGGAAUAAGAGAAUUCAAAAUUUGAUUUAUGGUUAGCAAAGUAUAUUAAGGAUAACUUGUGUAUUUAUCUUCGUAUCAUCUUUAUAUAAUUAUAAUAAAUAAAUAUCUUUACAGAAAAAUAAAAAUAAAUGACCAAGUACAUGAUACGUAUGGUUACCGUAUUUGAAUGUAUGAAGAUAAUUUUUGUGAAAGAAGUCUCUGCCCAUGGCUGUUAAUAAUCGAAGAAAAUAGAGCUAAAGAGAGUUUUUUUUACAAAAUUUAAUUUUGAUGGAAAUAUUUAUCUGAUAAUAUUUACCCGAUAAAGUAGUAGAAGUAAGAUCACUAUCAUAAAAACAAAAGGGAUUUUUUUUACUUUUAGUCCGCGCCAGAAAUUAUUUAUAUUUGAUAGCUCAAAAAAUAUAUAAANNNNNNNNNNNNNNNNNNNNNNNNNUAUCCGAAACUUAUGGGCUCUUUUAGAAAAUAUUAGUUCUAAGUUUCAUAGAUGAAACCCUAAAGCCGUCCUGCUGCAUAUAAAGCUGCAGCUGAACUAAAUCGUCUCCUCUGAAGUCUGAAUUCAACCUGCCUCUGUAUUCAACACCAGUAGAAGUCUCAUCAGCAACAACACCAUGGUAAUCAAAUCUCUCGAAAUAACUACUUUCUCUUGUAUUGUUGCAUAAUUUGAAUGUAAUUUGCUGCUUUAUCUUUUGGGAUAGCGUCAGUACAAUCCAUGGGUAAUUUGGGUUUACUUAGAUUAGUAAUUGUUUUGGAUGUUUAAUCACAAGUUUGUGCCUUUCCUCAUGAAAAUCUGGGUAAUUUUGAUCUUGCUUAAAGACAUGGUCCCCAUUUUAAUCUGUUGCUUAAAAAAACACGAGCAGAAAGCAUUACUUUACAAUGUUUACAUAUUAAGCUUUUAAAGAAGAAAAAAAGAAAGAUAUCAGGCUUUAAUUGUUUCGAAAAGUGAUGCAAAUCGGGUACAUCACAUUUUGGGCGUAUAUAAUGGUUGAAUAAAGUUUUGCUUAAUGAAGACAAAAUUUUGAAACGUAUGACUAGUUGGUUAGAUUUAUUUGGACAGGCCUUAGAUUGAUUUGAAGUGAUGUAAAAUCAGAUAUAGCUCUUAAUUUCUUAUUUUAGACAAGUGAUGCAUAAAGUUUAGCUCUAUAAAUAAACUGCGCUGAACCUUGAAACUAUUUGGUUUAAUUUUGUUUGAAUAUUUGUUGUUUGCUCGGUUGGCGUUCAUGAAAUAAUGAUGCCUUGAUGUGGAGUUUUAGAAUGUGAAGGAAAGAAUGGUCGCUGUGAAGUUUUCUAAUGUUAAUGAUUUGUUGUAAUGUUGAUGACUUCGCCUUCAGUCGAAGAGGAGGACUAGGGAGCCAAAGGAAGAGACUGUCAUCCUUGGACCUGCUACGAGAGAGGGAGAGCUUGUUUUUGGUGUUGCCCACAUUUUUGCAUCAUUCAAUGACACUUUCAUUGUAUGUGGUAACCAUUGAAUUCAGUGCUCUCUAUUAUCUGAUUAUGUUGUUUCAAAUAGUUACAGACUUUUAUUGUUGGACUGCAGCAUGUGACUGAUUUGUCUGGAAGGGAAACAAUGGUUCGUAUUACUGGUAAGGACUAUACCUUUUCACUCAAUAGGCUUAUUUAAAUCUGAAUAUCUUGGUACUUUGCUUGGGGUGUUGUUGAGGAACAGAUAAAUUAAGAGCUCAAAUGUAACAUAAUCUGGCUUUUAUUUGCUUCGUUUUCAUUAAAAACUAAGAUACUCAAUUGUAAGCUCUGUUUCGACAACAGAAAAUAACAAGUGGAAUAACAUCUUUGCCAUGCAUUUUCUUAUAUUAAUUGAUGUAUACCUUGAUUCUAACUUUGACAAGAAAUACACAAAAUCAACAUUUGGUUUCAAUGGGAGUAGGUUGUGUUGGUUUCACUUAUAAUUCCUGUCACAUUUUAGAUGUCGUUUGAAAAUUAUUUUAAUGUCAUAAUUCGUGCAUAUUGUUAUUACUAUGUUUUCUAGUUGACAUUUGUGGUUUAUUCUGAGUCUGGCGAAAAUUCUUAGCUGCUACUGCUUAUCUCAAGCAUUAUGGCCCAUGGUACUUCUGUUAUUUUUGUUUUGUUUGGAAAUUGAAUGAAUAUGUUACCUUCACAUUAUAUUUAUGGUUAUGUUGAACUUCACAAUUUCUUUUGAGUUUUGUCGUUCCUAGUUAUUAUUGUCCUUUUUUUUCCUUUCUUCUCUAUCCUUUCACAAGUAGCCCAUAAUCUUUGAAGGAUUAGCUACUGAUGAAGUUCCGCUACUUAGAAUCCUGGUUCUUCCUUUGCCAGCUAUACACUUCCUCAAGUUCUUCAGUAUAGCUAUUCCUAUUCCCAUGCACUUCCUCGAGUUCCUCAGUAUAGCUAUUACUAGUCCAUACUUGGCUUCUAAACUCCCAUAUUCUGCAUUACCUGUAUUAGUCUUUCUAAAAUACUGUUUUAAUCCAUAUUUACCAUUACUUUGGUGCUCAUUUUUUUAAGCUUAGCUUUUAAUAUCCUUCCCUUCCUUUUCGCUUACCCAGUGUAAGACCUUUGAGCUUUUGUCUAGUGAAGUUUCAGUAGUUCUGAAUUGUGAGCUUGUUAUUAUUGUGACCAUUUAAGCACUUCAAACUCUACAUCCUAGCAUGUCUGCUCAAUAAUCUUAGCUUAAAUUUCUAUGUAACCAACUUUUUGCGUUUGUUUUCUCUUUUACAUCGCAACCAUAUGCUUUACACUUCCUCUUAGACGGUAAGAACCUUUGCUUUUUCAAUGUCAUUCUGGUGCAACAAUCUUUGUUAACAUGUCAGCAUUGGUGUUUUCUUAUCAUUCUCUUAACUUGAAUGGUUUGAAGGAUCGGUAGAUUUUCCAUUGAUGUUUUAGGGCUUCCAAAGCUUAUCUACUUUUUCUGCUUUUUACGAUUAUCUUUAUUAUUUAUAGGAACAAGUUGUAAUGAAUCUCUGCUGUCACCUGUUUCUAAUAGGUGGUAUGAAGGUCAAAGCCGAUAGGGAUGAAUCUUCCCCAUAUGCUGCUAUGCUUGCUGCACAAGAUGUUUCUCAGCGAUGCAAGGUCUUAGCUUAUGUUCAGUUCUUAUUUUCUUACGUCCCUUACCCGCUGCCAUCAGUUGCAUAAUGUGUUUCCUUUUUGUCCACACUCAUUUGGGUAAUUUCUCCUUGACUACAGGAGCUUGGCAUUAAUGCACUUCACAUUAAGCUUCGAGCUACAGGUGGAAACAAGACUAAAACACCUGGGCCUGGUGCUCAGUCUGCUCUCAGGGCUCUUGCUCGCUCAGGAAUGAAAAUUGGCCGUAUAGGUAUUGCUUAGCCUUCCUUCUAGCUUUUGUGUAUCAAAAGUUCAGAACUAUAUGCAGUCGCUUAUGUUACUAAAACCUUCAUAUAGGGCACACGUAAUGGUUUGUAUUUUUUACGGGACACGUUUAAUGUGGAUGAUCAUAAUUGACUUUAUUAUAUUGCAGAGGAUGUGACUCCAAUUCCUACUGAUAGCACCCGUAGAAAGGGUGGUAGGAGAGGAAGAAGGCUGUAAGCUUGCUGCUCUUGUCAGGAAGCAAAUUCGGAUUCUUGUUGAGAAUGUUGGAGGUGUUAGUUUUGAUAUGAACUUAAAUCUUGCUCGUCUACUAUGUAUGUAGUUCUAUUGAUGUUGGCCUUGCCUAUAGAUUUUGCUUCCUUUUUCGUGGUUAAAUUUGAGACAUUUAUGAGGACUAUGAAUUGUGGCCUACAAUCUAUUAGCUGGUUGAGAAUCUAUAUUUCAUGGUUUUCCAGUCUCGGCUGAUUGUUAGAUUGCUAAAAAUUUUAUUUUGUGCCUCACACAACUGCUUCUUUUUUGUCUCACAACUGUGGGUCAUAGAAUUUUGUGGACCUAUUGAAAAGAGAGGUUUCGCCCUUUCCGGCUCUUCUCCUCCAUGCUUCAGUUGCCGAGUAUGAUUUGGUAUAGUUUCAAAGUUUUAAGCUGGAGCCUCACGUCACGGAACGAAUGUUUUUGUUUUCAAAUCAGCUUCGAAGAAUGGCCGGGAAUCGUCUUUUUUGUCUCACAACUGUGGGUCACAGAAUUUUGUGGACCUAGAUGUGUAAGAUAUGAGUCUACAAAUAUGUGAGAUAAAAAGAGACCUCACACAACUAGUGUCAGUUGUGCAAGACACAAAAUAAAAUCACUCCAAACUAAAGCAGAGGCGAUAUUUCUACUACUAGCAUAAAAAACAUUUUAAGUACCACAAUACCGCACCUUAUUUCCUUCCUCUCCCUUUCCAUCUAAUAUAAAGUGCAAUCUAACGAGUGAUUUAGUUUCUGCCACCUACCAUCCUAUAAGGCGUUUCUGGAUUGCUAAAUAUAGUAUGUGGAACUCAACCUAUGUCCUCACAGGAUUAAUAUAAUUUGACUUUCUUUCCAGGGAUGUACUGGGAAUGAGAUAGUGUAGUUUUCCAUACUGAAUUUUCAUUACCAUCUAUCUAUCUAGCCAGUUAAAACAACAAUAAUCAAUCCAGUGAAUUUUCGCAAGUGGGGUUUUAGGGGGUGAUAUGUGUACGCAAUCUUAUCCUUAUUUAGGAGGGUGAUAUGUACGUAAUCUUACCCUUAUCCUGGAAGGCAGAAAGGUUGUUUUCAGAAGACCCUCGGCUAAAGAAAUGAUAAAAAGAAGUAAUGACAGUAACUAUAAACAACGAGAAGAUAAAGAGGACUGAAGCCAUUAUACGAUAGUAAUAGCAAUCUAAGAAUAAAGGGAUAACAAUCGAACACUAAUGCUCUUAAGUUGAAGAAGACAAAGGGAAAUGCUUGACAACCUACUACUAACCUUCUAUCCUAAUCCUCGACCUCCACAUUCUCCUAUCAAGAGUCAUGUCAUUAGUAAACUACAGCUGCUCCAUAUCCCACCUAAUCACCUCUUCCAAGAGUUCUUUGGCUUGCCUCUACUCCUCAUACCCACCAAAGUUAACCUCUCACACUUCCUAACUGGGGCUUCUAUGCUUCUCCUCUGAACAUGCCCGAACCAUUCAACCUCGUCUCUCGCAUCUUAUCCUCCAAGGGGGCCACACUCACCUUAUCCCGAAUAACUUUGUUUCUAAUCUUAUCCAACAUGGUAUGCUCACAUAUCCAUCUCAACAUUCUCAUUUCAGCCACUUUCAUUUUCUGGACAUGAGAGUUUUUGACCGGUCAAGACUCUACCCCAUACAACAUGGUCGGUCUAACCACUACUUUGUAGAACUUAUCUUAAGUCUCAGUGGCACAUUCUUAUCACAUCAGAUACUGGAAGUGAGCCGCCAAUUCAUCUACCCAGUUUGUGUUGGAAAAUAGAUGAUUUGAUGGAGUAAAUUAAUUAUAUCCUUAAGGAAUUUAUGCUCCUACUUUUUGUUGGGUGUAUGGAUUCCUUGGGAUUUACAAGGCGAAAUGAAUUUUAGUUGAGCAAAAAUCUUGAAUUCCAACAAGAAUACAAAUGGAGAAGUCCUUCGGGCAAAAUAGAUUUAGCUAUUUUGAGAAGGCACUUUGAUAAUAGGCAUCCAAUUAGACUAAUCUAAUUUGAAAUUUAAAUACAUUUAAAAUAAAAAAACUUGAUUCUACUAAGAGCACAAUGAAAAAGUCAUUUCUGUUAAAAACAGAUUUAACGAAUUUUGUAAAGGAGCUUAGAAUAAUCAUCUUAAAAUUCAAAAAAACGUUUAAAAUAAUCCUAUUAAAAAUGUAUAUUGUUUUUUAAUAAAUAGCUGAAGUUAAAUAUUCUACAACUUGCCUACUCUUCUAUUCUCAAAUCAUAACCACCCGAGAAAUCCCCUUAUUUUUGCGCGUUAAAAAUCCACUUACUUUUUUGUGUAACAUUCUUAUUACGUGUUACAUAACAAGCAUUAUUAAAUUAUCAAGGUUCAUAGGAAACCCUUCAGAAUUAUAUUUUGACACGCCAGAAAACAGACAAAAACAGUUUAGCAUCUUGCAGUGUAAUUCGAUGUUAAAAUGCAUAUUUGAGCAUGUUUUGAUAUCUUAUUUUGGGUCACAUUUGGUAUUUGAUUGGAUGUAUUUUUCCUUCAAAUCAGCGUGAGAAUACCAUGAGAUCUGGCCCAUGAAGAGAAUGAAGGGAAGAGGCCCAAACUUACCCCCCAUAUUUAUUACACUGAUUCGACCCGAUCCAUUUAUAUUAUAGAACAUUUUCCAUUAUUUGUAUAGACAGAAUUUCAUUCUUUACAAAUAAUAAAACAUUUUCCAUUUUUACUCUCGUUUAUCUGAGCUCAUAGAAGCUUCUAGGUUUCCUUCUCUAAGCUUGUGCACAAUGAAGAAUCUAUAAGUUUUCAUGGUAUCAGAGCUAAGGAUGACGUAGCUCACGUAUUUUUCGGCGGAUCGAUGUUACCCCGAGCUGUUUCUAAAGUUUUCGUUUUUCGACGACAGUGUUGUGGUGAUACAGUGUGAUUUUCCGGUGAAACUCGAAGGCGGAAGUUUUUAUCUUCAGAUUGAAGGUUAUUGUCUUCCAAUUUCACUGGAAAAUUGGUAAUUUUCUUCCGAUUAUAACUAGGGGUGGCAAAUGGGCGGGUUGAGCUGUAUUUGGGCGGGUCAAGAUGUGUUAGGUCAAUAAAUGAGUCAUUGCCCAGCCCAGCCCAGCCCAAUGUGUACUUGGACUAAGAUGGGCUAAACAAUGGGUCAUAACGCAACCCGCCCAACUUGACCCAUAUUUAGAAUCAUGCCCAUCUUGCAUAAAAAAAGACAUUUACCUUAAAAUGUGUAAGUUGAAAAAAAAUUUAGGGUGGGAGUGGGGGUAGGGGUUGGGGGAGGGUUUGAGGCUGGUGGGUAAUGCAGAAAAAUAAUAUAAAAAAAAACAAAAAAUUUAAAAUUUAAAAAAAAGUAAUUUUUUUAGGGGUUUUGGGGGGAGGGGUGGGGGUGGGUGGUGCNNNNNNNNNNNNNNNNNNNNNNNNNNNNNNNNNNNNNNNNNNNNNNNNNNNNNNNNNNNNNNNNNNNNNNNNNNNNNNNNNNNNNNNNNNNNNNNNNNNNNNNNNNNNNNNNNNNNNNNNNNNNNNNNNNNNNNNNNNNNNNNNNNNNNNNNNNNNNNNNNNNNNNUAAAUAAAGUUUCUAUAUAAGUUGGGUUGAGAUACCUUUUGGUUUUGGGUGAGUUUUAUGGGUUGUAUUUGGACUGCUUAAUGGGUCAGAAUGGACUAUAAAAUAUAAUUAGUUAACUUGGGCUCAACCCAAAUUGACCCAUGAACUAAAAUGUUUGUAAUCCAAUCCGUUAAUCUCUGGGUGAGUUGGGCGGGUUUGGUCUCAAAUUGUCACCCCUAAUUAUAACUGUGUUCGUGUGAUUUCUGGUUUAGUGAAUUUCUGAACCCUAAUUUUCUCGAAGUAUUUUGCUAUGGCUCCUAAUGUUGAUCCUUCAAAUGUUACUACUACUACUCCAUCUAGUAUGUCUUCUAACAUAGUUUUAGUUACAAAGUAUUUUAAUGGGACGGGGCAUGGAGGAUGAAGACGAAACAUGCUGAUUGGUCUGUCAUGUAAGAAUAAGUUAGGGAUUAUAAAUGGAACCAUCGCUAAACCUAGAGCAAAUUCUGUUCUAUUUGAACCAUGGGUUUGUUGUAACGAUAUGGUUACUGCUUGGAUACAAAAAUUAGAUAUAGUGUGAUGUAUACUGAGUCUGCACAAAAGCUAUGGCAAGAGAUUGAGCAGUGUUAUGGCAAGGCAAAUGGUACUAAGGUGUUUCAAAUUAGAAAGGAUCUUGCAUCCAUCUCCCAGGGGUCCUCUAGUGUUGCAUCUUAUUUUAAUCGUAUUAAGAAACUCUGGGAUGAGUACUCUAUCUCAUAUCCAGACCGCAUUUGUGGGUGUAAGGAAGCAUUUCAAAAGAUAGAAGAAGAAUAGAAGGUUCAACAAUUUUUAAUGGGGUUAAAUGAGACUUACACUGGAGUUAGGAGAAAUAUCUUGCUCAUGAAACCAUUAUCUAACAUUGAUAGUGUAUAUGCAAUGCUGAUAGAAGACGAGAGUUAGGUUGAGAAUCAACCCUCCAAUUCAGUUUUUGUUUCAGUUCAGAAGCCCUUCAGUUCUACUUACAAUUUAGAGGCUACUACUCAGAAGACUUUCAAUUCAAGGGUAAAUUUUAACUCCAUAAAGAAGAGCAACUCCAAUUUGGUGUGUAGAUACUUUAAGAAGCUAGGACAUCUCAUUGAUAAAUAUUACAAACUACAUAGGUAUCCCUCUGGAUUUGGAGCUAAAUUCAAGAGGUAUGCAGCUUAUGCUCAUCUGUCAGACUCAUCCAACAUGGGGCAACCUGAUAAUUCUGGUUCUAAAGGGUCUAAAGCAAUUCCACUUGACAUUGGUUGGGGGGAGAGGGAUAUUUUGACAAAGGAACAAUAUUAACUCUAUUUCAACAAUCCAAGUUCUCGUCUACUUCUCAGGAUACUACAUCUGCUCCAGCCAACUUUGCAGGUUUGAUAGCUAAUACUACUUUUGAGAAUUGUGGUUUUCAUACUUGCAAUCUGUCUAGAGUAAAGGAUAAUUUUUGGAUUAUAGAUUUUGGUGCAACUAAUUAUAUGACUCCUCAUGCAACAUUACUCACUGAUAUUAAACCUCUCUCCUUACCUUAUCUUGUUACACUCCCUAAUGGCUAUAAGGUUAAAGUAACCUAAAUUGGUACUCUUUCCUCUCUGCCACCAUGUUUCUUCCUGAUGUCUUAUUUGUUCCCUUCUUUCACUACAAUCUCAUUUCUUUGCAUCAGUUGCUGGUACACCUUAAGUGUAAUGCUUUCUUUACUCAUUAUGCUUGUGUUCUACUGCAGAGCCCUUUUCUGAAGAAGUCACUGGUUCUUGGUAAGCUUCAGAAGGAGCUAUACAUUCUUCAGGCAACUGACCUUAGUAAUUUUGAUUCUUCCACUUCUUUUUUUGUAAAUACCAUAACUGCUAACAUUAAUGAAAUGAAUAAGAGCAAUUUUAAUCAUCGUCUUCUUAUGUGUGCUGUUUCUAGAAAUAGUGUGGCUGCUUCUGAUAUUGUCUCUACUUCUUCUUGAUCUAUUGAUCAUAUGUGGAACCUAAGGUUGGGACAUGCCCCUUUUGCUAAAAUGAAACACAUACCUUUUCUUUCCAACAAAUUACCCCACAAACAGUCUUUUCUUUGUCCUAUAUGCCCUUUGGCCAGGCAGCAAAGACUCCCUUUCCCUGAAAGUUCUAUUCACUGUACGGCCUCUUUUCAAUUAAUUCAUGUGGAUCUGUGGGGGUCAUAUCACACUCAAACAUAUAAUGGAUUCUAAUAUUUCUUAACUAUUAUGCAUGACUUUACCAGGGCAACAUGAACUUAUCUCUUAUCUUCUAAAGCCAAUGCUUUUACCAUUCUAAAAUUAUUUAUCAUUAUGGUCCAGACUUAGUUCAGUUCUCAUGUUAAGGUAAUGAGAUCAGAUAAUACAUUUGAGUUGGGGGCAGUUCUGAGGCUGUAUCAUUCUUUUCUGCCCAAGGAAUUCUUUAUCAGACUUCUUGUCCCCAUACACCUCAACCAAAUGGUGUAGUGGAAAGAAAACAUAAGCAUCUUCUUGAAAUUGCUAGAGCACUCCUUUUUCAAUCCAAACUUCCACUCAAAUACUAGGGAGAAUGUAUAUUAACUGCUACUUAUCUCAUAAAUAGAUUCCCUUCCCCUUUACUUCAUCACAAAUCACCUUUUGAAUUGCUGCAUGGUUCCUCUCCUUCUUUUGAACAUUUAAGAGCCUUUGGAUGCUUGUGCUUUGUUUCUAUGCCUGAGUCUUACAGAGAAAAAUUCAAAUAUAGGACAAUUCCUUCUGUUUUCAUUGGGUAUAGUCUAGGAAAGAAAGCCUAUAAGUUGUUAAAUUUGUCUACCUCAGCUAUUUUUCAUUUUAGGGAUGUGGUGUUUCAUGAAAACCUCUUUCAUUACUCUAAUUCCUCUGUUGCCCAUUUAUUUCCUCUUCUUAUAUCCCUUACUGCUAUUGUUAUACCUGAAUCUCAUUCCACUUCAACAAUUCCUCAUGUACCUCAUCCUUCUUUUGCUCCCUUAUUUAGUUCUAUAAUUCCUCCUUCUUAUGUUUCUAAUCCUCCUCUCAGAAGACCUAAGAGACCAUCUAAAACUCCUGUCUACCUCAAUGAUUAUGUUUGCACCUCAGUUUUAGUUCUAAGAAUUGCUCUUAUACUCCUGACACAAGCUUGGCGGAACCUCAAUUUUAUCAUCAAGCUGCUUCACAUCCUGCAUGGCAAGAAGCUAUGAUAAAGGAGUUUCAGGCCUUGAAUGCCAAUAACACUUGGACUAUUGUGCCACAUCCUUCUGAAAAGAAAGCAAUUCCUUGUAAAUGGGUCUACAAAGUUAAACAAAAGGCAGAUGGGUCUGUUGAAAGAUAUAAUACGAGGCUAGUUAUUAGGGGUGAUAAUUAACAUGAAGGAGUUGAUUUUACUGAGACUUUCUCUAUCGUAGUUAAAUUGACCAUAAUUAGAUGUUUGUUGACUAUAGCUGCUAAGAGAAACUGGACAGUUUUUCAAUUAGAUACCAACAAUGCAUUUUUACAUGGGAUCUUGAUAAAGAGGUAUUCAUGAAAAUUUCACCUGGUUUGAGAGUCCAAUCCUCUUCUUCUGGGCAUUUUCUUGCUUGCAAGCUUAAUAAGUCUCUAUAUGGUCUUAGACAAGCUUCCAGGCAAUGGUAUGCCAAGUUAUCCUUCGCACUUCAAUCUAAAGUUUUCAAUCAAUUAUGAAUGAUUACUCAUUGUUUAUAAAACUGCAUGCUAACUGUUUAACUAUGGUAGUAGUAUAUAUAGAUGAUAAACUUGUCACUGGUGAUGAUUUAUCAGAGAUUCUUAUUUUGAAGAGUUUUUUGGAUGAUCAAUUUAAAAUCAAGGAUCUUGGUGAGAUCCACUAUUUCCUUGGUUUGGAAGUUCUCAAACAGUCUAAUGGGUUUCUGAUUAAUCAACAUAAGUUCCUUGUGGACAUUCUUUCUGAAUUUCAUUGUUUAGCUGUUUCUCUUGUGGUUUCUCCUCUUGAUCCUCACUCCAAACUCUCAGCUGAUGUUGGGGAUCUAUUGCCCGAUCUUUCUUUGUAAAGAAGAUUGGUAGGGAAAUUGAAUUUCCUCUAACACAUUAGGCCAUCCAUUUCCUUCACUAUCCAUUACUUGAGCCAAUACAUAUCUGCCCGAGGAUGCCCCAUCUAGAUGCAGCCUAUCAUGUGCUCAGGUACUUGGCUGGGACCACUACUCUAGGUUUGUUGUCUAAUUCUUCUUAUCUUGCUCUUCAUGGAUUUUGUAAUUCUGACUGGGCUAGCUGUACUGAUUCUUGAAGGUCUGUUAGUGGUCUGAUUCUCUUCCUUGGUGGAUGCACUAUUGCCUGAAAAUCUAAGAAGCAGUCCACCAUUGCCCUAUCCUCUGCUGAGGCUGAGGCUGAGUAUAAGGCCCUGCGACUGCUAGUUGCUAAGGUGACUUGGGUUCUCAGACUAUUGACUGGGCUUGGUGUUGCUAAUCUUACUCUUGUUGAUGCUUAUUGUGACAGCCAGUCUGCGAUACAUAUUGCAAAGAAUCAUCUUUUUCAUGAACUGACGAAACACAUUGAAGUGGAUUGCCAUUUUGUAAAGGAUGCUCUGAAGUCAGGGGUUAUCACUUUACAAUCUAUCUCUACCUCCUUACAAGUUGCUGGUAUUUUUACUAAAUCUCUGUUGGGUGUUCAUCAGCAGGCAUUCAUCUUCAAGCUUGGAAUGGAUUCCCCUUCCAGCUUGAGGGGGUGUUAAAGCCCAUGAAGAGAAUGAACAGAAGAGGCCCAAAGUUACCAGCCCAUAUUUAUUACACUGAUCCGACCCGAUUCCAUUUGUAAAUAAUAUAAAUAGAAUAUUUCCCAUUAUUUUGUAUAGACAGAAUUUCAUUCUUUACAGAUAAUAAAAUAUUUUCCAUUUUUAUUUUCGUUUCUCUGAGCUCAUGAAGCUUCUAGGUUUUAUUCUCUAAGCUUGGCACAAUGAAGAAUAUGUAAGUUUUCAAUCUGUCUUUUUAAAUAUGAGCUGAGUUAAACUCUUUCAUUGUUGGCAGCCGUAUGAAGAAGUCCAACUAAGGAAAAUCACUAAUAUUAGUAUAGGACGAAUGUUACUAAAAACUGAAAAAUAUACUCCCUUCGUUUUAAAUUAGAUGAGGUACUUUCCUUUUUAGUCUGUUCCAAACUAAAUGACAUCUUUCUAAAUUUGGAAAUAAUUCAAUUUUAAACUCUUCAUUUUACUCAUUUUAUCCUUAAUGAGAAGCUUUUAUAACCACACAAAUGUCAUGAUCCCACAAAACUUUUUUCCCCCUUAAGAUUUUAAGACCACAAGUUUCAAGAGCCUCCUUUUUUUUAAACUUCGUAUCGAAUCAAACUACCUUAUCUAAAUUGAAACGGAGGAAGUAUAUGUCAGGACAAAAACAAAAUAGAAGCUCUAUGUAACAAGGUCUCUACCAAAAAGAAAAAGGAAAGUUUUUUUUAAGAUAAAGAUAAAGAAUUGUCUAAGACAAGUAGAGUUCAAAUCUCGACGGAAAAAAAAUAUUAUUUCCUCCAUCCACAAUAAGUGACCAAUUUGCUUUGGGCAUACCUAUUAAGGAAAUACUAAAUUCUAGACGAAAAUAGUUAGUGUGACUAAACUAUCCUUCAUUAAAUGUUGCACCAUAGUUUAGUACUCCCUCCAAUUCACAAUAAGUGACCAAUUUGCCUUGGGCGCACCCAUUAAGGAAAUACUAAAUUCUAGACAAAAAUAGGUAGUACGAUUAAACUACCCUUCAUUAAAUGUUGCACCAUAAUUAUAGUAACAGUUACUUCUCUUCUCAAAUGUGAGGAGUAAAUGACUUUUUAUGGAUAUGUACAUAAGAGCAAUUUUGGAAAAACAAAUUGAAUUUUUUCUUGAUUAUAUAAAUGGACACUUAUUUUGGACCAAAAUAGAAAAGCAAAUUGGUCACUUAUUGUGGACCAGAGGGAGUAGUGCUUACUUCUCUUUUCAAAUGUGAGGAGUAAAUGAUUUUUUCGGGAUACGUACAUAAAGAUAAUUUUGAAAAAAUAAAUUGAAUUUUUUCUUAAUUAUAUAAAUGCACACUUAUUUUGGACCAAAAUAGAAAAGCAAAUUGGUCAGUUAUUAUGGAUUAGUGGAGUAGUGAUUAAGUUUUGAUUGAGCUACGCGGAGCUUUAAUAUCACCGUUAUAUAAAAAAGAUAAAGAAUUGUCUAACACAAAUACCAGUUUUGUCAUAGUUAAAAGUGCAACAUAAAUUGGAAAUCCCGUAAGGUUCAAUUGGUGACAGGAUUUGGACAGAGAGAUUCAAAGGAGAAAUGCAAAUUUCCCAUGUGCUUGUCUCUUUGCAAAUGUCUUGGAAUCUUCCACUUAUGACCAGCUGGAUUUCAACCCUACCACAGCCCAAUAUGGUUAUCUGUUUGCUUUUUGUAUGCAGCAACAGCAAAGCCAACAGGUCCCUUUAAUUAAAAUAGAAGCAUUUUCUACUCUAAAGUUUAAUCAUUGUUGUCUAUUAUAUUGCUAAUAGUCAACAAGCUGAUAGCCUAACAGGUGUUUCGUUAAUCGUUAUGGUUAAGACUCGAUUCCUUAACCCGUAAUUUGACCUCUUCUUGUUUCGUUUAACAAAUAUGGCUUAUGUAAUUGAUAAUUGAAACAUUUUCAUAAUAGGAUCUGGCCUCACACCUUAUCAAUUUUGCUGUUCUCACCAACUCAAACAUCAAUCCAAUCUUGAAACUUGAAAUUGACUUGGGAAGAUACUCUUUACGGCUUGUUUGGAUGGUUGUUACCUACUGUUCCCUCCGUUCCAAUUUAUGUGAAUCUGUUUAACUGUGCACGGAAUUUAAAAAAAAUGAAGACUUUUAAAAUUUGUGGUCCUAAACAAAGCAAAAAAGGGCCCAGAGUAUUUGUGUGGUUCUAAAAGCUUCUUAUUAAGGGUAGAAUUGAAAGUUUAAGCUAAAUUGUUACCAAAAUUUAGAAAGGGAUCAUUCUUUUUGGAACGGACCAAAAAUGAAAUAUGUUCACAUAAACUGAAACAGAGGGAGUAUUAUGUUGUAUUAUAUUAUUACUUUAUAUACUAUGUUAUUUUUAUUGUUACUUAAAUUUUGUUAUAUCAUAAUAUGAAGUCUGUUGUUCUGUAAUGAUAAAACCCCUCUUGUAUAGCGAUCAAUUUGGUUUGAUCGUGUUGUUAUUUUAUUUUUAUUUUUUCUCAUCUUGCCCUUACUAAUAUUUUACUCCCUCUGUUGCAGUUUAUGUGAACCUAUUUUCUUUUUGGUCCGUUCCAAAAAAAUAAACCCUUCCUAAAUUUGGUAACAAUUAGCUUAAAGUUACAACUCUUACCUUUAAUGAGAAACUUUUAUAACCACACAAAUACUCUGGGCCCCAUUUGGACUUGUUUAGGACCACAAAUUCCAAAAGUCUUCAUUUGUUUCUUAAAAUCCGUGUCCAAUCAAACAGGUUCACAUAAAUUGGAACGGAUUGAGUACUUUUUACCCUAAUUUUAAAUAAUUACUCUAUUCGAUAAAUCAUGUUUUCUUUAUAAUAUUGUAAGCUUAUUCUUCAAAUUGUGGUGUGUGACAUAAUAAAACAAUGAAGAACGACACGAUCUAUUUAAAUAUUAUAUUCAUUAACAUAAUACAAUACAAUAUAAUACGAUAGCAAAAUACCUUAACUCCCCCUAAACUUGACACGGAUUAUUAGUGACAACCUUAAACUAUUCGUGGUCUUAAUCACCCCCUCCCCCCUCAACUUGGCCUUCUUGAGACUCAUUACUCCCCUGGACGCUGCUGUGGCAAAGAGUGUGGGUGCACUCGCCUACCACGAGGAUUUUUCUGUAUGUGGCAUUUUUUUUAAAAAUAAAAUAUAUUUUUACCCUUUUAAGUAUAUUACUUUUUUGAAUAAUUUUUUUCGAAUACAAUUUAUAAUAAAACUUGGAUACUACAUUAUUUAGGCUAAGUUUUUUAUUUGGCUAAAAAUAAUAAAGUUUUAGUUAAUCUUUUUUUGAAUUUGACCUGAAAAUAAAGAUUUAUAUAAUUGAAAUAAAUAGUCAAGGCAUCUAAAAAAGUUAUAAAAAAUACAUAGUUCGAAAUUAAUUAUUUUGGCUAUAAUUUUUUUAUAUAGCUCUAAAUUAUGGUGCUCUAAAAAAUAUUUUUUUUUUAUAGAUUUUUACCUGAAAAAGUAAAAAAUACACAGUUGAAAUAAAUAGUCAUGACUAUUUAUUUCNNNNNNNNNNNNNNNNNNNNNNNNNNNNNNNNNNNNNNNNNNNNNNNNNNNNNNNNNNNNNNNNNNNNNNNNNNNNNNNNNNNNNNNNNNNNNNNNNNNNNNNNNNNNNNNNNNNNNNNNNNNNNNNNNNNNNNNNNNNNNNNNNNNNNNNNNNNNNNNNNNNNNNNNNNNNNNNNNNNNNNNNNNNNNNNNNNNNNNNNNNNNNNNNNNNNNNNNNNNNNNNUAAAUUGUAUUCGAAAAAAAUUAUCCAAAAAAGUAACAUAUUUAAAAAGAUAAAAAUAUAUUUUAUUUUUUUAAAAAUGCCACAUAUACAAAAAAAUUUAUGUGGCAGGCAAGUGGACCCACAAUCUUUGCCACAUCAGCGUCUAGAAGGUAGUGGCUCUCAUAAGGCCAAGUUGAGGGGGAGGAGAUAAUUAAGACCACAAAUAAUUUAAGACUGUAAUUACGUGUCAAGUUUAGGGGGUGUUAAGGUAUUAUGCCAUGAUACGUUAAGAAAUAAUAUGUAACAACCAUCCAAGCAAGCUUUCAAUCCAUGCUAAAAUAGUACUAAUAGACAAAAAUUAUCUCUCUUGAAGGUAAAUUUAAAAGAGGGCUCUCAAUUGUCAUUUUGUUCUUCGCUCUCUUAUCCAUCUUUUUCGCUUCCAAUCUUUCCAACAAAAACCCAAUCCCUAUAUCCAAUAGUGCACUUCCUCCCUCUCCAAACCCCUCCCAAAAUGCAACUCAGACCACAAAACUAUUGUAAAAUCCUCCUCCUUGAUAACAAGCCAUGACCACCUGAGUCAGGACUCACCAUAAAUUACCCAUAUGAUUGAGUCACUGUACUCAGCAGCCAGUCGCUCUUUUUCUUUGAACAAUCUGAGAUUUUCUGCCUUUAAACAAUUCAGAUUUGGUAUCUCUUACUUUUCAUUUUCUCCUUCCACGUUUUCCAAGUUUUAUUGCACGGUUUUCCUUAUUAACUUCAGCAUUGCUUGUUUGACCCACCAAUCCACCCUUCCCAUUUUGACCCAUCUUCCUAUUAUAUAAACCCAAUACACCAAAAAACCACAGAGCAUUUUAGAUUCAUUGGUAUCACAACCAUUUUUGGUGAGGACCGGAGAAGAAAU
rnacentral:lncRNA from 1 species